CCUACUAAUCUUGAUGACUUAUGCAGUUUCAUGGCCUUUAUACUUUGUGGUUUGCAACCGAUGGACCUUCGAGACAAGAAAUACCGCCAUGUGAAGAUAAAUAUGUGAAUCUGAAGGACAUGCGCGUUACAGGAUUCAAAGGGGCGAGAGGCCAAGCUGAAUUCCUUAUGUAUGUGGUUGAAAAUGCUCCUGCAAUAGAGGCCCUAACUGUAGAUACAGCUCAAAGGCUAACUGAUGCUUGGGAUCCAGAGGAACCAACCCCUAGAAUAGAUAGUGCUGCUCUUAAUAUGGUUAGAGGUCCUCUCCUUAAGAGACUCCCACCGAAUGCAAAUCUUUUACUUGUUUAAGACAUACAUACAUUGUUGUAUAUAUAUAUGUAACUGCAGAAUGUAGAGUAGUCUUUUUUUGCGGAUACGCAAAGCUUGCGUAUCAUUCGUUGAUAGAAGUUAAAAUGAAAAUACAUAGGGGGGUACAACCAAAGGUGGCAUAAACAUGAUGCCCGAAGCAGAGUUACAUGGAAUGGUCAGCCCAAAGAGGAGCUACAACACAACGCUAGACUACCCAGUCAGCCAGUCCAACAGAAACAACCCUAACCAAGACGAUGCCCCAACACUCGGAAUCGAGUACCAGACACGGCACGAGCAAGCAAGAGGACGCCUUCAUGAAGGGGAAAGACGCCGUGACGCCGCCGUUGCCUGAUCCCAGGAACUGGAUAUGGGGUUUCCCCUGACGCUCGAAGAGGGCUCGAAGAAUAGGCCGUGGCAGCUCAUCCAAGAAGGGUACGGCACCUGCAGGUGUCGCCGCUGCCAGAAUCAAGCAGGGAUUUUGCCCUAGCCAAUGUCCAAACAAUCCCAAAGCCGUCCGAACUGGAUCCAAAUACGAGGGCAUGUCGUAAGCUGGGACCGCCAAUGCUGGAAACGAAACUAUGCCACCGGAAGCGCGAGCAUUGGACCUGGCAGGAGAAGGGCAAGGCAAGGGGUGGCAGUAGAGGUUGGAGAUGCGACGACGAAACAUACAGGCGAACGCAGUCGGCAAGUUGACGAGCCAGGAUCCGGAGAACGCAGACCUAGAUCAGUGAAGCCGGAGCAGCCAAAACACCGGCGAACCCAUGUAGCCGGAAAGAGCGCAGCUUCGAGAGCACCGGGCCAUAGCCGCUGUGGAGGAACCCCGACAAGAUGGACCCUGGAAAACGCAGGUUCAAGCCAACCGGGAUCGUAACAGGGAAGGCAAAAUCCAUCGUGUGCAGGCCGCCGCAUCGAAGAUGAGAGAAUCCACACCACCACCGAGCAGAAAGGUUGCAGCCCUGCGUGGAUCCAGAAAGGGGCCACCUGCAGCACCAUCAACGGAGUACUCAUCAGCGGGAGGCGCCGCGCAUGGCCACGGCCGGCCCGUGUGCACAGGACAGAGAAGGGAGCGCCCAAUGCACGGCCAGCGUGUCACGCCCACAGAAUCCCUCUGCCGCGACCCCCAUGGACAGACCCGUCGAGCUCGCGCGUUUAGCCAGGGAGAAGACACGACCGGGGAUAGGAGAGCCAACCGGCGAGUGGCACCACCGCGCAUAGAGGAGCUCCACAGCGAAACCACCCCGCACCAACGGGAGGCCAUGCCCCGCCUGAAGACGCUGUAUGAGGCUGGAAUGCCCCGCCGCCAUGACGCCAGCCUCCUUGGGCAUGCCCGGACUUCGCCGGCGACCCUCUGGCGGCGGCCACGCAAGGGAGGUGGAUCCGUGGCGCGGCCAGCGGGGUUGCUCUGGUUUCCCCUGAGUCGCCGGGGAGGUGGCGUAAUUGUUCUUUAUCUGUUAAAUUGAUAAUCCAUCAAUCGUAAAACUAAGAGCAGCAAUGUUGAUUUACAUAUGACAAUAGUCUUUGAAGAAAGUAACACGAGGAGAGAAGAACUACAACAGUACAGCUACCAGAGUAAGGGUUUUCGCUAGAGAACUCCCCCGACAGCUCAAUUGGCUUAUUUGUUGAUAAAGGUCAAUAUAUUACCAAGUACAAUCGGUCUAUGCAACAACACAAUGUAUGGAGUAGUCAAGACAUCCAGAUUACACACAUCCAAAUCAUCAAAGAACGGAAAAUAAAAGUACAUGGCCCCCAAAAGCCAUGCCAAAGCGAUCACCAACAACCACCGUCGUUGGAAGCACCCUAUGUUACGAGAAAGAUUCCCCAACAAUGACGGCUGAACGGAACAACGUGCGAGCACCGCAACUACCAAAUCACAAAUCUCGUGGUGUUUCACCCAAGAAGGAAUUUCAAGCAAUCUCCACACAAUUCCUUGAAUGAUGGAAUGCCAUGGAAACACCAGCAUGUAGAUACAACCAAUUAAUGAAAAAAAAAUCUCAGGGCGAUGAUCACUUCGGGUGGCAAUUGCUCAUUGAAUUUCUCGGCGAAUGCAUCCAGCAUGGAUGUGGUGACAUCGUCACCAUCCACCUUUGGUGCUGGAGCAGCCGUCGCAUGAGCAGCAGGGUGCUUGACCCUCGUCAGCGAGAGCCCUCCAGUCUUGGAGAUCCUCACACUAGCCAUCGUUUUCCUAUGCCUCACCCUCUACAGUGAGAUCCCUCCAGCCUUUGAGAUCCUCACCCUAGCCAAGGUUUUCCUGUGCCUGGCCCUCUAUAGCGAGAGCCCUCCGGUCUUGGAGAUCCUCACACCAGCCAAUGUUUUCCUUCGAGCUGUCNNNNNNNNNNNNNNNNNNNNNNNNNNNNNNNNNNNNNNNNNNNNNNNNNNNNNNNNNNNNNNNNNNNNNNNNNNNNNNNNNNNNNNNNNNNNNNNNNNNNNNNNNNNNNNNNNNNNNNNNNNNNNNNNNNNNNNNNNNNNNNNNNNNNNNNNNNNNNNNNNNNNNNNNNNNNNNNNNNNNNNNNNNNNNNNNNNNNNNNNNNNNNNNNNNNNNNNNNNNNNNNNNNNNNNNNNNNNNNNNNNNNNNNNNNNNNNNNNNNNNNNNNNNNNNNNNNUGGAGUUAUGCUGUCGGGGUGGAGGCUUCGAGAGCUCACAAGCGGCGUCCAGUGGCCCCAACCGCCGUGGUAUGCAUCGCCUCCAUGGUGAAGGAAAGGAGAAUAUGGCAGAUCUAAGCUCAUGGUGGUGGCGACUGGAACUGCUGUAGGUGCUCCUCCCAUUCACCCCAUGUCGUCGGUGAUCUUUACAAGGGGUAUCACUUAAUUAGUAAUCGGCUUUGCUAGAACUCAUCUAGCUGAGUUUUAGUUAUGUCUCAUUCACUUUUAUAGCCAUUGGAUUGAUACUAUAAGAUGCGUGUGUGCUAAUGUGGUUUGUAGUACUAUUUUUAUCUGUUUUUGUUUUCAGGUGAAUGAGACCAAAUUAUAUCUCAUAUAAAUGAGUCCUGGGCACUCCCAUUAGUAAUUUUGCCCUCGGAUUAAGAUGAUCCGAAAAGCAAAAUUGUUCUCCUCAAUGAGACAAAAGUUUAUGUUGAGAACUUUUUUAAAAAACCAUCUUGAGGAUUGCAAGCGAAAACCCGGUGUCAACACAAGCCUAAUUAACUUUGUCGUAACUCCUGCGGCGCCCGAGCUUCGUUUUGAGUUGCCUUUAUAUCCAUCUUGAUGAUGGCUAUCCAAUGAUGCCUCUAAAACUUUACUUUUGACUUAAUUUCCACUAGAAUCAAGCUAUUGUUUGAGUUCUUUCUCAUUUCGUAUGUUCCUCGUGUCACUUUUUAAGCGCUCAACAAAUGUCAAGCUCCAGGUUUUCUUUUGCCGGGAAAGAGACAUGCAUGGUCGUCACAUGCAUAACCAUGAUGAUCAGUAGCUCUACACAUUUUUGCCGCUAUACAAUACAGAGAAUUAAUGGUCCGGACUCCCGACAUGCUGACACUGACGGUUAGCCCGCGCCGGUGGUCGGCGGCGCCGCGCGGCAGAGCGGGCAGCUCGUCCGCUGCCGCAGCCAGUCGUCGACGCACCGCUGGUGGAACACAUGCCGGCACCCCGGCAGCCGGCGGAGCUCGUCGCCGUCCGCGUAGUCCGCCAGGCACACCGCGCACGUCGUGCCAUCCUCGCCUGUUGUGGCCCUGGAAUACACCAUGGUCGGGAACGCAGCCAGGGCGGCCUCGUCGAUCCCUGCCGUGGCAGCGGACCGGUCACCACCUUGCUCCACGCCCACGUCGACCCUCGGCAGCGACGGCGACCGCGACGCACGGUUCACCCGCCGCCGGUUUGAGCAGACGAAGGUGAAGACGGAGAGCACGGCGAGCACGGCCACGGAGGCGCCGAUCAGCAGCACGGUGGAGUUGGACAUGGUGGUCACAGCAUGUACAACCUCAUCGCCCGUGCUACACAUAAUAUACUAUCCAUACUUAAUCCCUACUUAAUUUGUGAGGCCGGCCACGUCAAGGUCAAGAUCAAAUGAGAUCUCCAGCUUUCGCCCUACAUGUAUAUACUGCCAACGGAUUAGCACAAAAUUAGCGGCAAUGCCCAGGCUAAUUUGACUCUCACCGUUUCCCCGUCAAUUCGUUGCUUGUUGCAUAUGUGCGUCGAUCACUCAGGAUCAUAAAGUGGCAUAUUUCGCGUUUUGCAAACUAGUGCACUUUUGUUGAGGGACUAAGACUAAGAGCAUCUCUAGCAGACUCCUUAAAAGCGGUUAAAUCCUUAAAAUUUUCAUGUUUUGGUCAAAAAAAUAUCUAUAACAAAUCCUAUAGAAGUGGCCCGUUCCUUAAAUAUUUUAAAAGGCACCAAAAAUCCACACCUGAGAUCCAUAUAUUUGAAGGCUUUGAAGGCCAAACUGAGGGUGGCCCUUAUACCGAUCAAACCUCGUCGGGUACUCCAUUUGUAAUAUGUGCGUCGAUCACUCAAGAUCAUAUUUGUAGUCGUUUAUGGCACAUUAAUAUUAGGCAAUAUGCUCCCUCUGUAACAUAAUAUUAACCAAAAAAAUGUCUUAUACUAUUAUGUUACGGAGGGAGUAUUAUACUGCAUGUUAAUAUUAUUAAGCAAAACAUAAAUUCCAUGUUAAUAUUAGAUAGAACAUAAUUACUUGGUUAAUGUUGAUGUUGAUAUUAGACAUGGUAUUAAUUAUGGUGGCGGCAAUGGUCGUUCGGUAGUCUGUAAGCCCCGAUGUAAUUUUUAUUAUAUUUGAGGUGCUUGUAUUUCCGGUGAAUCUUUAUAAUAGAUUUAAUUGUUACUAAAAAGGUUAAUGAUGGGUGCUAAAACAUGGUUAACACUAAACACUAGAACGACGUAGACCAUUGCAUAGAUGUGGUUCAACGAGUCAGAUUGAUUGGAUUUCCAUAACUCGUUUCUUAUAUUGGUAUAGAUAGUGGCAUAUUUCACGUUUUGCUAACUAGUUUUCACAGUAAAAACUCUCUUAUAUUAUGUAAAAAUUAAUAGACGGUACUUUUUUAGAAUCAAUAAACGGUGUACUUGAAAGCUAUACAGUUUUUGUUUUUGACAAUAAUCUCCUCCUUUAUUCAUGUGCCAUGAUAGUAGCAUCAUAUACAAGCAUUGCGAUGAUCGCACUAGGAGCAGAAUCCAUCCAUACUUCAAAAGGAGAGGAUUUAGCUAACCUAAGCUACUAAAUUACUCUCUCUAAAGCAGUGAUCAUAGAUUACAAUUGAUAGCAUGUCUCUGCUACUAUUAAAGAGGACUCUGUAGUCCUUUUGUUCGUUUCGUCACACCUUCACGGAUCCUAUGGUCCCACCUCCCAUCGAUUUUUUCCAACAAAGAAUCCCCAUCGAUUUUUUUCGAGCGAACCUUCCAUUUGUCUAGGUUUUUUUUCUCGUCUUAGAUCAUUCCGUUUCAUUCCCAACCUCCUUCUCGAUCUGAUUUUUCUUUCCAAACCCAACCCCAUCUGAUCAGGAUCUACAAGAGGGGUUUCCUCCCGUCCCUUGUGCAGGCAAUGGAAGAGAGGGGGGAGAGUGGAGGGGAGCGUGGUGGCCUCUGGGCCGUCACACGAGAAAAGGAAAGGCGGCGACAUGACAACCCGCUGCGUUGCCGCUGCUGCUUGCGUGCUCAUUCCCCUCUCUUCAUCCCUACCUUCAACUCGAUCUUCGGUUGCCGUCAUACGGCAUAUUGGCAAGUCUGGGUAUAAGCCAUCAUAGGAGGACAUGGAGAAUAUCACAUGAUACCACCAUUCAAGUGAUACCAUGAUACCAGUUUCAGAAAUCCAAUUAUAGAUGUGUCAAAAAUAUUGGAAAUUUUUGCAAAUGUUCAUCACAUAUAUGUCUACCUCCCCUAAAAAAAUUCAGAUCAAAAUGUGAAAUAAACAAAGAGAAACAAAAAAGAGAAAUUCAACAUGAAUAGUGUCAAUAAAGACAAAAGGAUGAAUAGUGUCGUCCCCAAUGUGCCCGCUCCCGGCGCCAUCUUGUACGUGGACAACUGCAGGCGGUGGUGGGGCUGACCCACGACAAUGAAGCCGCAUCCUUCGGAGCCUUUGGGGAGUUCGAGGGGUCAUCACCGCGGACGACAAUGGUGCGCGCGUUAUUGUUCGGUUUCGGGAUGGCCGCUCUCCAUGGGGUUGUAGAGAAUAACACGAGGGGCAUGUUUAGUUGGUUGGAUCAUUUUUGGGGGUCUUUGGAUGUGUGACUCAGUUGGGUCUGGCCGAGCUAAUGCACGACAAAAAUCAUGUUCUGCAUAUCGUUUGGUCGCCUGCAUGUAGGUUGGCUAUAUUAGGGACCUGAUUUCCCCCUGGUGUUUGGUUGCCCGCGUUGGACCGAGUUGAUGCACUACAUGGUGCUUGAUUGUGCACGACAUAAGUUGUGAUCACCCCUUCUCAGUAGUGGUGACCUUAUCCAUACAUAAUAGAAUGCAUUGUUUUAGUCCUAGCUAGGAAGUAAAUGGCAAUUCAUCCUAGCUACUAACAAAUAGCAGUAAACAGCAUGCCAUCAGGUCAUGCCAUGCCGUCUGAUAGAAUGUUAGAAUCAUGAGCUGUUCCUUCACUACAAGAAAUAUGUCAACUUGUGACCUUCUGUUAGUGAUCUUGGAAGAAUUGAUCAUAGAUCUAUGACCAUUUCAGACCAAUUGGUCAAAAGUUGUUCGGGGGGCUCCAAAGCCUAAACUAUAACGACCAUUUUGGUCAGAAAGGUCAUAAUUUCCUUACACGAAAUGGUCAUAAAGCAGAUAGUAUUGGUCUGAUGCCUUAUUUCUAGCUGAUCAUGACCAAUAUAUAUGGUCAUAACCUUGUAAAUUGUGGUGGGUUGCUAUGACUAGGCGCCACCUCAUCAGUUUUGCCUAUGUGUCAUGUCCAUGUGGCAGUUUUUGCCCUAGGUUGUGAAGCAACCUAUAUUUCUGUCAUUCCCAAAAAUCUCAAAAAAAUCUCAUAAAUUCUUUGGGUCAUAUAUUCAUCAAAUAUGUAAAAAUCCUUCCUUGCCUAGUUCAAAACUAAUUCAACAAUAUUCAUUUUCCUAUUUUGUUCACGACAGCACUUUAUGAAGGAAGUGCUAUUUAUAUAUUCUUGAUUGCCCUUGGAAUUUUUGGGCACUCUUUCCUAUCCAAAUCAUUACCGCAUGACAAAAUUCAGCUCCACUUGCCUAGCAAAUCUUCCUCGGCAAAUUUCCAAAGUUUUUGUCCACCUAGAAGCAUUGUGAAGGAAGUACCUUUUUAUAUAUUGAAAUGACAUGAAAUUUAUACAGUUCCUUCAUAUGCCCAAAUUAUCACCCUCCUCCAAAUUGCAGCUCAGUCAAAUCAUCUAUGUGAGCCCAGGUUCAAUUUAUAUUUUAUGGCCAAAUUGGCACGUUGCAAAGCAAGUGUUAUCUAGACCCCCUCCUAUUACCCUCAAACUUUUCGGGCACUCUUCCAUACCCAAAUCAUUUCCACAUGAUAAUAUUCAGCUCAAUUUUCCUAGUAAAUCUUUCUCAGGAAAUUUUCAAAGUUUCUACCUCGAGAGAAGCUUUGUCAAGUAAGUACUAGCUAGGCUUACACAAAUGAUCUGAAAAUUUACCAGCGCAUGACCAUACCUAUGUAACUUAUCUACACCAAUUUUUAGCUCAUUUCAUUCAUCCAAUCUCUCUCACUAGUUUUCCCAAGUUUCUGUCCAUAGAAGAGAAUUGUGAAGGAAGUACCACUUUGGCAUUUCCAAAUAGUAUCCAUUUUCUACAGUGGUUUCCUAUGCCCAAAUAACCAUCCUCCACCUAAUGCCAGCUCAAUCCAUUCAUUAUUUUGAGCCGAGCUUCAACAUUCGUAGUUAUGUCUAGUGUGGUAGUUCGCAAAGCAAGUACCACCUAGGCUCCUCCUUUUGAGCUGAAAAUUUGUGAAGACGGUCUUCUUAGUAACUGAUCAUCCUCAGCCAAAACUCACGCCCAUUAGCCAUGUACAUUUCCCGCACCGCUAAUCAAACACUUGGUUGAGCAUCGAUCGGUCUCCUCGUGAGAAUCUUAUGUUGUAAUUUUCUUCCUAGCACCAACCUGGGGAGUGCCCAACCCACUAGACAUGCCUAGGCCGCCCAGAACGCAUGGCAGCGCCAAGGUCACGCGGUGACCACGCGGCGGGCAUGCGAGUUUACGCGCUCUAGAGUUGGGGCCCUCGGCCACUGCCCAAACCUCUACGUAUCGCCACCAAACCAUGUAUUUAUGAUUAAAUAGGUCCUUAUGUAACUAGAAAUAAUUUUUGGAAAAAAUAAAUAGCAAACUAUGAGGCAACUGCAGUUCAAAUUUGACCCGCUUCCUACUGAAUCGGUGGAAAUUUGUCUUUUUCACGAGAGGUGGAUCAAAAAAAUUUACACCCAACCAUUUUGUCAAUUGUGCAUUAAAUAUGGCCUAGUAUUUUAUAAAAAUGAUUUGGUCCAAUUUUGCAACAAUUAUUUGGUAGUUCCUUCACAAAAAAACCUCCUUUUGGGCACUCGAAAAAUGGAAAAUAGUUUUUUCGUCCAACGAAAAUGAAAACUUCCUUAGGCAACAUUGUUUGCCAUUCCAAUAUGCACCCUUGUGCACAAUAUGAUAUCAUUUGAACAAACUAUGCCAUGAAUGUGGCCAUAAGAUUGAUCAUUUGGCUUGAAAGCCAUUGACCUUCACACAUGAUAGCUCAUUUUUGAGAACACUUUUUUAAAAUAAUUAUCGUAUUACAAGUUUAUUAUUUUUUCCGGAAACUUAAUCACAUAUAAUGAGACAAUGCGAAGGUUUUCCAAUUUUUUGAUUUUUUUUUGAAUUUUUUAUGCCCGUUUCAAAAUGUGGUCAAAACGGCGGGCUUGACUGUUCCUAGGUAGCGGUUGAAUCUUGGAAUUUUUUUUGGUGUUUCUAUGAUUAAAUAGAUACUUAUGUAGCUAUAAAUGAUUUUUGGAAAAAAUAAAGAGCAAACUACGAGGUAGCUACAGUUCAAAUUUGACCCGCUUCCAACUGAAUCAGCGGGAAUUUGUCUUUUUCACCAGAGGUGGAUAAAAACUUUUUACAACCAACCAUUUUGUUAAUUGUGCAUUAAAUAUGGCCUAGUAUUUUAGAAAAAUGAUUUGGUCCAAUUUUGCAACAAAUAUUUGGGAGGUCCUUCACAAAAAAACCUCCUUUUGGGCACUCGGAAAAUGGAAAAUGAUUUUUUCGUCCGAAGAAAAUGAAAACUCCCCAAAUCAACAUUGAUUGCCAUUCCAAUAUGCACCCUUGUGCACAAUAUGAGAUCAUUCCAAAUAGAUACUUAUUUACCUAGAAAUGAUUUUUGUAAAAAAUAAAGAGCAACCUAUGAGGCAGCUGCAGUUCAAAUUUGACCCGCUUCUAGCUGAAUCGACGGGAAUUUGUCUUUUUCACCAGAGGUGGAUCAAAAAUUUUGACACCCAACCAUUUUGUCAAUUGUGCAUUAAAUAUGUCCUAGUAUUUUAUAAAAUUGAUUAGGUCCAAUUUUGCAACAAAUAUAUGGUAGGUCCUUCACAAAAAAACUCAUUUCGGGCACUCGGAAAAUGGAAAAUGAAUUUUCCGUGCAAAGAAAAUGAAAACUCCCUUAGGCAACAUUGUUUGGAAUUCCAAGAUGCACCCUUGUGCACAAUAUGAGAUCAUUUGAACAAACUAUGCCAUGAAUGUGGCCAUAAGAUUGAUCAUUUGGCUUAAAAGCCAUGAAUCUUCACACUUGAUAGCUCAUUUCUGAGAACACUUUUUAAAAUAAUUACUGUAUUACAAGUUUAUUAUUUUUCCUGUAAACUUGGUCACAUAUAAUGACACAAUGCGAAGGUUUUCCAAUUUUUUUGAUUUUUUUGAUUUUUUUAUGCCCGUUUCAAAAUGCGGUCAAAACGGCGGGCUUGAUUCCUAGCUAGUGGUUGAAUCUUGGAAUUUUUUUGGUGUUUCUCUGAUUAAAUAGAUACUUAUGUACCUAGAAAUGAUUUUUGGAAAAAAUAAAGAGCAAGCUAUGAGGCAGCUGCAAUUCAAAUUUGACCCGCUUCCAGCUGAAUCAGCGGGAAUUUGUCUUUUUCACCAGAAGUGGGUCAAAUAUUUUGACACACAACCAUUUGGUCAAUUGUGCAUUAAAUAUGGCCUAGUUUUUUAUAAAAAUGAUUUGGUACAAUUUUGCAACAAAUAUUUGGUAGGUCCUUCACAAAAUAAACUCAUUUCGGGCACUCGAAAAAUGGAAAACGAAUUUUCCGUGCAAAGAAAAUGAAAACUCCCUUAGGCAACAUUGUUUGCCAUUCCAAUAUGCACCCUUGUGCACAAUAUGAUAUUAUUUGAACAAACUAUGCCAUGAAUAUAGCCAUAAGAUUGAUCAUCUGACUUGAAAGGCAUUGAUCUCCACACAUGAUAGCUCGUUUCUGAGAACACUUUUUUUAAAAUAAUUGCCGUAUUACAAGUUUAUUAUUUUUGCUGGUAACUUGGCCACAUAUAACGACACAAUGCGAAGGUUUUGCAAUUUUUUGAAUUUUUUUGAAUUUUUUAUGCCCGUUUCAAAAUGUGAUCAAAACGGCGGGAAUGACCGUUCCUAGCUAGUGGUUGAAUCUUGGAAUUUUUUUUGUGUUUCUAUGAUUAAAUUGAUACUUAUGUACCUAUAAUUGAUUUUUGAAAAAAAAAAGCAAACUACGAGGCAGUUGUAGUUCAAAAUUGACCCGCUUCCAACUGAAUCGGCGGAGAUUUAUCUUUUUCACUAGAGGUGGAUCAAAACUUUUUACACCCAACCAUUUGGUCAAUUGUGCAUUAAAUAUAUCCUAGUAUUUUAGAAAAUUGAUUUGGUACCAUUUUGCAACAAAUAUAUGGUAGGUCAUUCACAAAAAAACCUCAUUUCGGGCACUCAAAAAAUGGAAAAUAAAUUUUCCGUGUAAAUAAAAUGAAAAAUUCCUUAGGCAACAUUGUUGCCAUUCCAAGAUUCACUCUGAUGCAAAAUAUGAUAUAUUUUGAACAAAUUAUGCCAUUUCAAAAUGCACCCUCAUGCAAAAAAUACAAGAGAAACAAAUAGAAAAACACAAUUACAUGAGCUUUGUUCUUAUUGGUUGAAAUGUUUGUGCCGUGGAUCGAUGACAUGGCAUCCAUCCAUCCAUCCAUCCAUCCCAUUUAGCUAAUGAAAAAAUAGAAAGAAAGAAAAAGAACCCCCACCCCCGGGGCAGCCCAACCACCCAAACCCUAUCCCCUCCCCAGAUCCAUCGUCGCCGCCCCCUUCUCCUCCCUCAUCCCCUCCAACCACCCAAACCCUAUCCCCUCCGCAGAUCCAAUCUCGCCGCCGGCCUCACUCUCCCCCCUCAUCCUCUCCCGCUCGCGCACGCUCCCCCGGCGGUGGCUCCUCCCCAUUCUCCCCGCGGCUUCGACCAUGGCCGCCGCCCUCGCGUCGCCGCNNNNNNNNNNNNNNNNNNNNNNNNNNNNNNNNNNNNNNNNNNNNNNNNNNNNNNNNNNNNNNNNNNNNNNNNNNNNNNNNNNNNNNNNNNNNNNNNNNNNNNNNNNNNNNNNNNNNNNNNNNNNNNNNNNNNNNNNNNNNNNNNNNNNNNNNNNNNNNNNNNNNNNNNNNNNNNNNNNNNNNNNNNNNNNNNNNNNNNNNNNNNNNNNNNNNNNCCCCGCGCACCGCGAUCCUGCGGUGGUUGGUCGCGCUGCCGCCGCCGCGAAGAAGGACCAGGAGCCCGACCCCUACGACGACCGCUAGUGGGUCGCCCUCUUCUUCGGUACGCAGACCGGCACCGCCGAGGGAUUCGCCAAGGUACGCGCACGCUCCUCCUCCCCCACGCUGCUCCCGCUCGUCUGUCUGUCUUGUGCAAGGUGCCUAAUAAGCUCUCCCUUCUAUGCUCCUGCCGCCAGGCGCUCACGGAGGAGGCCAAGGCAUGCUACGACAAGGCCAUCUUCAAGGUGCUCGAUCUGGUACGAACCUCGCCGCCGACGCUGCUUCUUUUUAAACCUCCUCCUCCCCCUCCCCUCGGCUCACACGAUUGAUUUGUCGGGAUUCAUGAUGACUACGCCGCCGAGGACGAGGAGUACGAUGAGAAGCUCAAGAAGGAGAACAUCGCAUUCUUCUUCCUCGCAACGUAAGGACCACCUGCAACUCUUACUGACUUCGUUACAGUAGGGAGCAGAAAUCUUUAGUUAAUCCAUGACUUUUCAAAGACCUAUUCCUUCCGCUGAUCGUUUUAUAGAUGAGGUUGAUUCUCUUUCAGAAUACCAUAUCCAUGGUUUGACAGUGGCGAAUCGCUUUGACUACUCGUUUUACAGACAUGGGUUGGUAUCUGAAGAUUGCAUUAUCUUUUGCUUGUUUUAUAGAUCAGAUUGAUGCACAAUGAUUUUAUUUCUUUGUCCAAACCCCAAAUUUGACAUGGCUGAUAUAUAUAUAUAUAUAUAUAUAUAUAUAUAUAUAUAUAUAUAUAUUCUCAGGUCCUUUUGUAAAUCCUGAUGGGCCAUACUAUGCAACACUAGCUUACUGCCAAAAGUUGUAAUGUAAUCUAAUGACUGCUACGUUUUGUGCACGUACAAGUCGACUCUCUCCUUGAAAGCUAUGGUCUUCUGGCAGUUGGUUGCUGCAUCCAGUAUUGAUUUGUUUGUUCUCGCUUGCGCACACUAAAGAGAAUCACUUACGCCGUGAAGCGAUGUUUAUAAUAUUGUUAGCAUGUUCUAUUAGUUCCAGAGAAAAAGCGAAAUCCCAGCUCCGCUUGCUUCAUGAUCUAUGAUAAGUUCACUUGUGUAAGAAUAAGGCAACAUUUAAGCAAUGGGUAGCAGUAUCCACAAAACUAAAUAUUAUGUUCGUUUUCUUGUGUGCUUGACUGCUUGUGUAUUGUUACAGGUGAGGAAGAACCAGCUGCUGACGGGCGAGGGCAUGGGGUACCUGGAGGCCAAGCACCACCUGCUGCUGAGCAUUGAGUUCAAUCCAUUACUAGGAUUCUUGUUGUUUGUCUUUGAACAAUGCUUGCGUUUUAGCUACUGCCACUUUGAGCUGUUGUAGCUUGUAGUUAUCAAUUCCAGCUGGGUUUACAUAUUGCAUUUCUGGAGCAGUAGAUCGACAUUUCUAAGUUCUUUUGUUAUAUAAGAUGAACAAAUGUUAUGUUUAAAGUGUGAGCUGACUAGUAAUCCUAGAGAGAACCAACUCCAUUUUUGCAAGGGUUAGCUAAUAUAAUUAGUUAGGUACUGUUGUAUUAGUUAGCUAAUCUAAUUUGCAGCAUUAGUUAGGUAUUGUUGUAGUCUUUUUUAGACUUCUCUUGUAUGAGUAAAAUGCUAUGAGCAAGAGUAAUGCUAUGAGUAAAUUGAGAUUUCCUUGCUUUAGGCAUAAGAAUAAGCUAAUAAGAACAGAAUAUUGAUACUUUGCAUGCUAUGAGCAAAAUGUUGGUACUUUGCCUGCCAUAUCUGGUUCUUGUUUUGGUAGUAGUUUGCAUUGCUUAUCCAGUAGUAUCAGUCAACUGGCCAGCCUGGAGCAGCUUGGUGUUGUACAUGAUGGUGUUAACUGUGAAAAUGCCAAGUGUGAGAAAAUUAGAAAUUCUGCUCCUUACGUUUAUAAAUUCUACAUAUGGUUUCUCAUCACUUGGUGUACAUAUAGCACGUUUUGGGCAACGAAUUAUUCAGCGUUCUAUGUUAAAGCUUUCAACCUUGAAAUCACAUAUUUGUUUGGGCAUGUGCUAUAUGUACCAUUUUAGAAGUAGUCCACAUAUUUCUGUCCUGCUAUAGUCUUUUUUAAACUUCUUAUGAGAUUGAAGUAUUCAUUCUAAUUUCUGGUUUGCUGAUUGUUGUAGACAGAUGUAUGAAACCUCUUAACUAUGGACGACAACUACUUGAGAAGGACCAUCAUCACCCAUCAAGUAUGCCAUUGAGGUAAUUCACCAGUCCCUCCAGCACCAACUAUCUAUUUUCUCUAGUAUGCUUAGGUUUUUCAUGCUGUUGUGGUAGCCCCAUUGCUGUUGCGUUGAAUCUCAUGCCAGCGCUGGUGCGCCUAUGGCUUGAUGUGCUAUGAUCUUUAUCUGUGUAGGUUUUGUUUGAUGAUAUGCUUAGAUUAUGAUCAUAAGCAUGGUGGUUUGAUGAUGCUGAGGCCAGCUGUUAAACCAUGAUAUAGUUGCUGGAACUGAGCUUAAUAUUCAUGUGUGUAUGUGUGUGUGUGUCGAGUAAAGUUGUGGUUUGUGCUACUCCUUUGUAACAUGAUGAAACAAAGAAUGUCCUUUACUCCUUUUUUGAAUGGAAUGUUCAUAAUAUAUUCGCUUCAGUUUUUCUAAUUUUUAUCAGCUGAUUCAUGUAACAGGGCGUCCGUGGAAGGCCCAGUCCUGACUCUCCAGUGAGUCCGGCAUUUGAUCGCUAUUGAAGGAGCUACAUGUAGAAGAAGAAAACACUUGUAGAGCUUGUAACUGAUUCCCAUAGUUGUAGAGCUUGUAUUACAUGUCACUUGUAGAACUUGUAAAUGCUACAGCUUGUAGGACGUGUCAUUUGUAGAGCUUGUAAAUAAGCUUGUAUAUGCUACAGCUUGUAGGACGUGUCAUUUGUAGAGCUUGUAUUGAAUUUGGCUAUUGUUAUUUGAAGUAUCAUGUGUGUUUUUUGCUUGCCAAUUUAACUACUGGUUAUUUUCUUAUUGUCAAAUUGAAAUAUGAAGAAUCUGGGCCUAAUAGCUAGGACCCACUUAUCAGAACCUGACAAGUGGGACCUGUUUGACUAGAGGACCCAUUUUAUUAAAAAAACUAAAACUAUUGUACAAAAAGGCCAUGACCCAUGAAAUAAAAAGGCAGAAUUGUUGGGCUUGGCCCAUGAAGUCUGACCAAAAAUUGACAGAAAAAAAUAUAUAGAAAGGCUGAAUUAAUGGGUUCGGCCCAUAUAAACACCCAAUUGGACCGGGCCAAUUCUUGUGCCACAUCAGAUUGUCACGCUGGAUGCCUACGUGGCCUGGGGAGGUUGCUAGUGACCAAAACGCCACAGUAGACGUAUUUUGGUCAUAAACGUCUACGACCAUUCCAGAAGAAAGGUCGCUAUAGUCAGUUUAUGACCGCCAGCUUUUGACCUUAUGUUUUUGGUCACAAAAAGAUCACAAAUUGAAAACAGUGACCUUUCAGUGACCAAUAGUAAAGGUCACAAAUUGACAUAUUUCUUGUAGUGCUUCCCAGCUAGCUAACACAUAUGUGAUAUUCGGAUUGAAGUCAACAACAUCAAGAAUAUUAUGGCUUCUGUAGUGCUUUCUACCCCUGUAUACUGCAGACUGUGACCUCGACACUCUAGCAUUCACAUGAGUACCAUCUAUCGCGCUAAUGAAUCCUGAAAAUGGCAUGACAAUAUGGUGUCAUGGUUGCAUUAGAACAAUACAAGCAUGCCAAGGCAUGAACUAAGAGUAGUGCUCUCCUUGAGAUACAGAUACCAUCUUGGGCUUGUGGGAAUAUUUCUACAAGUUUUCCCAGUUGGUGCCUUGAUCAGAUCUCCUCUAAGCUCCCCAACAGCAUACAAAACUUGCCCAAAAUACCUUAAAAUGGUCUCCAUUGAUCUCCUGAAUGUGUUGUGGAUAAUCCUGAACCUUUGAUUAUGACAUACAACAUGAAUGAACAUGACAACUUGCUCUUUAAUAAUGGCAUGGAUGUUAUCUUGUAGCAGCCCCCUGUUCCUUAACGUCUCCACAAGCCUGGCAAAAGGUACUCUUUUCAUUUAAGCAUCCACAAAGUCUACGUCAUUAUAGUUGUAGUGGUUCAGAUUCAAUAUCCACUCCUAUCCCGGAUUAACAUUGGACCAUAACGGAUGAAAGUUUUAUCACUUCAAUAAACAGCUCUCCUAUGGGUCCAACAUGAGCCAGGCUUGAAUGGCAGCUAUCAUGAUGCUACCUAGACAAUCAGCUUCAUCUGUUUGUCCAUAACCUAGGCGACAUCAAUGGUGCGGUGAGCAAUGGCGAAAUCGAUCCUACGCCUUACCUAGUGGCCUAAUAAAUGACCUAAUAUAGGACGGGGUUGUAUGCUUCUUACCCCCUUUAGAGCCAAUGACCCGGCCAUGGCGCAGACAAGGAGGAUGAGAUGGAGUCAGAGACAAUGGGGAGGAGCAAGUCCUGUUGCCGGAGAUUGAAGUCACAUUUACUCUUUUUUCUAUUUAACCUUUCAAAAAAUAGUGUGUGAUUUUAGAUUUGAACUCCAAACCCCCUGGUUUAUUUCCGACUGCAGUAACCAAGUGGGACAGAUCACUUGCUCUUCCUACAUCUAUUUCUUUCUCUUUUUGUUGUGCACAUUUCCGUUUCAGGUUUCGUAGGGUUUUUUUGGUCGUUUUUCUUUCGAGCUUCAUGCACGGUUUUUCCUUUUUCUUUUUUUUUCUUUUUCAUGAACUUUCCUUUUGAUUUGUUAACUUUUUAAAUUUUGUGAAACAUUUUUCAAAUCCACAAACUUUUUCCAAAUUUCUAAGCAUUUUCCAAACUCAUGAAAUUUUUAAAAUUCAAAUUUGGGAACAAUUUUCAAAUUCGCAUAUAUUUUUUCUAACUCGUGAUUUUUAAAAUUUGUGAACCUUUUUGCAAAUCUGUGAAACCUUUUCUCAAAUUCGCGAACCUUCCCCAAACUUUGUAGACUUUUUUCCAAAUAAUGAAAAUUUUAAGGUUUUUUUUUACUUUUUAAAAAAUUAAUGAACUUUUUUCAAGUUUAUGAACCUUUUUGAAUUCAUGUUUUUUUAAAUAAAAUGCACGUUUUUUAAUUUAUAAACUUUUUUGAAAUUCUUGUAAUUUUUUAAACUUGUAAAAAAAUUAAAAUUCGUGAAUAUAUUUUUUAUUUUACCAGUUUUUUCAAAACUGACAAAGAAAUAAUCUGUUUUUUUAAACAGUGAACCAGCAGCAAACUACAAUGAGACGAGGGAAAAUAAAAAAAUCAACCCAAGAAAGGCGAGCGAGAGAGCAUGGCAAGUUAACGUGCCGGCCAUCUCGUGGACGCAUGUGCGCCGUAGCACCAAUUCGGCGCUCAAGUCGCUGACGAGGAGCUCUCUUGGACGCGCGUGUCACAAAGGCACCGGCUUUGCUACAACUACGGAUGUUUUACAGGACUUUACAGGCAAAUGCUAAGGUGAGUUGUUUUAAUUGGUGAUUAGGUGAGGCGGGGCCCCACCCGAAAAUCAAGGGGGGAGAGAUUGGUGAAGUGAGAAGGGUCGGUCUGUAACCUCCUGUAAAAGCAAUCCGUACGUUUAGCAUUUUUACAAAGGCACAGGUGUGAUUUCCUCUUUUCUUUGUGCUUUGUCUUUUUAUCGGGUUGUACUUUUUGUGGGUCCUCUGGCCAACAUGGUAUGAAUAUAAGGAGGUUCAGUUUGUAAAGAAAAAGUGAACACUUUUGAAGAAAGUAACUAUUUAUUUUUCAUUAUAUAUGUAUUUAGUAUUUUUUUAAUAUAGAUGAAAGGAAAAAAAACAUGUGUGACAAGACCACGUGGUUACUUGGUCAGCCCACUACCGGCUUGCUGCAAGCGACUCUAGUGUAGGAGUUGCUACGAGCGAUACAUAGUCACUCCCGUAGCUGCCCCCACAACCUCUAAGAGCAUCUCCAGUAGUAUGUGUAUAUUUGGAUAUCUAUAUAUUUAUAUAGACAAUGGUCUAAAAAGAUUCUCUCAUAUACACGUUCAGUUUUGCAUCAGAACGUCUAUAUACAGGGACCAUGACAGGUGGGCCGUCGCUGAGGAGAGGAAGAAAUCAUGACUGGAGCUGAGUUUAGACGACGUCUUCAUAUUGUCCAGGCAUGGACAUUGUCGAGGUCGAUUUAGAGGAUGUGUAUAUUGGGACGACCAUAUAGACAAGUGGUUGAACGUCUGCUUUGGGCUCACGUUGUGAAAAACGAGUAUAAACAUCCAUAUAGACAAGCUAUUGGAGAUGCUCUAAUGUAUGAAAAGAGCCAACAAAUCUAACAACAUAAAUUCUCACGAACCCGUUAGUGCCAAAUCGAAUGUCGUCUAUGUAAGGAUCGGUCAGGGAGACCUAAUUCAAACAUGCCCAUCUUGCCACCGGCUCGUCAAUGCCGUAAGAGAAACAAAAACUAGCGAAAAGACAACUGAAGCAAACGAGUUCCCGCUCCUUUAUGAGUUUUUUUACGAAACGGAGGCAAAAUAUUUGCCUCAUCUAUCUAUUAAUUAAGGAGAAAAAAGUCGUCUAGUUAAUUAAUGAAAAAACGGAUUAAAACCGUCACAACCACUGAGCAACACACACAAAAUACUUCACGCACGGCUGUGGCGCUAAGUUCCGCCCGUGCCGUUCCUGGGAGAGCGACGUGGGGGCCCCACUGCCUAUGCUUCAGCUUGAAUUCCACUCCUCUAUGAGUUGAAAGCAAAAGAAUGAGGUCAAAUAUUACUGAGGCUGAUUAUUCCAGCUCAGCAAAAGAAUGUAGCUAUCGGAAAUUGCUUUUGCAGGCCGAGCUCCAUGAAGGCCUCCAAAUGCAAAAUCCAAAUUUCAAAAAAAAAUUCAUAUUUUUACAUUUCAAAAAAAUCUGAAAAAAAUACAGAGAUAGAUGAAGGCAUAUUGAGGAGUAAACCGUACUCCUAUGUGCGUGUGUGUCCCGGUGCUCAACCAGAAGAAAGCAGACAUAAUCAUAUUAUUAUUACUUACAGCGUGUUUUUUAUUGCAAAGCCAGAGUUAGCCAGAGACUGAUAUUCCCUCCGUCCCGAAUUAGAACUACUUGUCGCAGUAUGGUGCUCAAUAAACAGAUAACUGAAUCCAAGCAUCUCACAGAUUUCCUGCAAAUAUAAUGCAGCAAUGCCACAAACCGAAGAACAAGUGGUGACAGGAUUCAGGUUCACAGCACAACAGGCAACUUUUAUCAAGAAUCUCCUGCCUCUUAGCUAAAUUAUCCCUAGUGAGCAGUUUAUAAUGUGAUGGUAAGCACAAGAGCAUAUAUACCCCAGGGGGGACAUGAAUCUUCCAAGCAGUAGGAACAAAAACUGGAGUAAUCCCCCUAAACAGAUGUGCUUUAACAAAACUGAAUUGAUAACUAUAUAUAAAGACUGAGAGCUAUACACUGCUGAAUUGUGCGUCUUCCACACCAUUCGGUCAGGGUCCUGAAUCAACAUAAUGUUAGAAACAAUUUGCAGGAGAUCAAUCCAAUAUUUUGUGAUCAAAACAUCUCCUGAAGGACAAUUUCAAAUCAACACCAUCCCCGGCCUUGGAAAUUCGGAGAUGUUAUGGCACAACUGAACUACACCAGCAGCUAAGUAAGACACACUUCAACAGACUGGGUCGUCACUGACGGGCUCGUCACACAAGUCAGAUACCAAUCAGAAAUGAUGGCCAUCUCAAACGAGUGGCCACAUCAGAUCACCAUUCAUUCAACUCCUUUCAGCGUUGGUCACCAGAGACCAGACCAACUGAAAAGAAAAGACAAUUUUGUCUGUAGUAUCUACUGCCAACAAGUCGCGCAUCAUUGAUUUUCAUUCCUUCAGAAAGCACCUGAGUAUUUAUACGUAGUGCACAAGAAACCACGUGUUGCAGACUUCUGGUGUCAUGUAAAGCCAGAGCACCAAAGUCUUUGAAGUCGCUAUCCUGCUAAGAACCAUACCACCCAACUAUUGGUGCUCACCUUGACUUUUUGAGCAAUCAAACGUCACAUGUGAGACGAUAUUGUCAAAAAUGGUGACCUGCAGGCACCACUACAUGACCCGUCCAUAAAAUUUGCCCUGAAACAUUCCAAGAUCUGCUGGUAAGGAAUUUACCAUGGCGGAGGCCAUCUUCUCGGCGGUAGUCGGCGACAUGGUGGGCAGGGUGAUCUCGCUUCUCGCCGGCCGCUUCAGCGUCCAACAGUGCCAGUGUCAAGCUGCAGAAGAUAAGUCGCAUGCUUGUCAGGAUUCACAGUGUGGCGGAGGAGGCCAAAGGGAGGCACAUCACGAACCAUGUUGCCCUCGAAUGGCUCUCGGAGCUCAACGACGGUGUGUACCAGGGUCGUUAUCUGCUCGACACGAUCAGGUGCGGAGAGCCGGAGCUCGAAGACGGGCAUGGUGACAAGGUACCAGCACAGCCUUUCUCUCUGUCCUUGUUUAAUCCUGCAAAGCGCGUGCGUGUCGCCACGAGCACCGUGAAGUGCAUACUGUCUCGCCAUGAUGCCGGUGUCGAUGAGAUCGACACGGUGCUAGAGAGCUUGCAAAGCAUAUCUGGUGAUCUCCGGGAGUUCAUGAUGCUCCUGCAAGGCUGCAAGCGGAUCCGACGCCCUUUGGCUACCAACAUCUUUGUGGACGGGCAGAUGUUCGGCAGACAUGUCGAGAAAGAAAGGAUCAUCAACUUCUUGCUUGACAACAGCGGUCCAUGCAUCACGGGGAAACUGCCUCUGCUGCCAAUUGUUGGUGACAUUGGAGCUGGGAAAACUACCUUGGUGCAGCACGUCUGCGAUGAUGCCAGGCUGCGCAACCGCUUCCCAAUAAUCAUGCUGUUUAAUUUCUCAUCUACCUACGCUAUGGCGAUGGGUCGACCAACUGUUGUUCUGAAAUCCAAACAUGUUAUUGGAGGGUCUGGAAAGCUUAAUCAUCCGCUGCAAGUGCUCAACGAGAAUUUCCGCAAGAAGCGGUUCCUGAUGGUGUUCGAGGAUGUUGACAUGCACAGGAAGCAAAUGCUGGAGGAGCUCUUGCCAAGCCUAAGACACGGCAAACAGGGGAGCAAGAUCAUACUCACCAACAACAACAGGCGUGUCGCCGCUGGCAUGGGGACAGUGGAGCCAGUCAAGCUGAAGGUCUUGCCACACCCAGAGUACUGGUUCUUCUUCAAGGCGCAUGCCUUUGCUGCCACGGACAUUGAGGAGAACCUGAGGCUGCUGGCUGUAGGCAAAGCCAUUGCAAGGAAGCUAAAUGGAUCAUUCUUUGGCGCAAAGAUCGUCGGAGGGGUGCUGAAAGCCCAUCCAAAUCUACAGCUCUGGUGUAAGAUCCUAAGAAGCAAUAUUGGGGGCCUGUCCUUGUUGGGUGAUGGCCUUGGAUACAUUACGGAUUUGGCAGAGAAUCUGCUGCCAAGUCAUGUAAAGAUGCGCCAGCUGAUUAUAUCCAAGAAACCGCUCUCCUCGACACAGCCUGAGUUUGCCAGGUUGCAUGAUAUGCUUCUGCCAAGCCCUGAUGCAGCAGCAGCAGACCAAGAAAGCUGGAGUGCAGAUGUUGGAAAUGCAAAAGUGUUGUUGUGCAGGUCAGUUAUGCCAUUCUUUUGCCUGGACUACAACGCUCAUUGCACUGUAAGUGGGCGAAACAGUUCAUCAGGAUCCACACAUUUCAAUCAUGGGGAACCCCGUGUUGUUGGGGAACUAAACCUUGUGCAUCGGAAUUCUAUGUGCUGAUCAAUGUUUCCUUCUCUAGUAUGUAGGAAUAUUUUGUACUGAAUCUUAUAUUGUCUGAUCUCCAGUUUUGUGCUGUUUUCUACUGUCCUUUCAUUUCUGCAUUGCAUCCUCUUAGAGACCUCUUCUUUUACUUGUUCCAAAUAGUCCUUCGGUAUAAAUGGUCGCCUGCUUCCCAACGAGCUGGACUUCUAGCACAGGCUUUCCAAAAGCUAACAAAUUUCAUACCAAAGCAGAUUGAAGUAUGACUUUCUUUUUACAACUGCUUUUGCCUGUACCUGUAUCACUACUGCCGUGCCAAGAACUGGCGGCUACAGAUACUACUUCUCAACUAUGCGCCAACUGGUACCUAGGGUUAGCUCUCAGAAAUGAUCCAAUGAUCUUUGCGCCAAUGACUGACCCUUUCCAAUCACUUUACCAUCUACUCCUUCUAUAAACUAAUAUAAGAGCGUUUAGAUCACUAUUUUAGUGAUCUAAACGCUCUUAUAUUAGUUUACGGAGGGAGUACUUCUAGCCUGCGGCAGUUCUCCUCAAAAUCUGCCUCAGCAAGUGCAAGCACCUUGGAAAUAGAUACUCCGCAGCGGUAAGAACCUCAACUUGAUUGUCUGCACUAAUCCAAUUUUCAUGAUUUGGUUACUGUGUUGCCUUGGGUGCCUGACUCCAAUAUGGAUGAUAAUUGGAAGAAUAUCCAUUUUUUCUUCAGAGAAGUGGUUUCUGUACAGGAGAAAUUGUAUUACUUGUUCCCUUCCGAUAUGCCGGCCAAACAUCUGACAAUCUGCAUAACUGUUGGUACUCCGUGGCAAUCAUAUCGGCGUGCAGCUCCCUCUCUAAAUGUUCUACAACAUUGUUGAUCUCUUCAAGGCUAUGACAUGGGACAAUAGGAUAUUGAUGGUGCUUGCAGCAACCUGUAAAUGCUUUGCAGGAUUAGAAGAGGACAAUAAGAAAAGAUGGUGAUGAGAGUGCACCUUUUUAUUGUUCACGUUGUCAUCAUGAGCAUCUAUGGACUUGAUUGACCUAUUUUUCGAUAGAUCGAGCAUUUAACGACCAUGGUACGAUCUGCGGAUGAGCUCUGAGAGUCACUCCAAGGUGUUGUAGUUGGUGAUCUGCCCCCCUUUGGGCUCUUCCACCGUACUUCCAGUCUUGAUUAGCAUAUGACGAAACAUCCCUAGCUUGGCUUGGGUGCCUGACGAAACAUCUCUGCUAAUCAUGUCACCGAUGACUGGGGAGAUAACAGACACAGCCAUGGUAAAAAUUUCCAGAUGGAAGAUCUAAUUCUAGUGCAUGAUAAUUUAUUCUCAAAAAUCCUUUUGGAGAAUUAUAGGAUCUCCCUGUUCAGUGUUCACCAUUUUAAUGAGAUUAGGUGUUGGUUGAAAUAAGAGGUCAGGUGAAGGACAAGUCAGUGAGAGGACAGGGAUAGCAGAGAGUUGCCUGAUACUCUACAUAUAACACAUAUCAGCCUGAGUAACUAUUGCUGAAGACCAAAGACUUCUGUUGGUAUAAUAUAAACUUGGAAGACCAAAGAUUCCAUGUGGAACGGAAAGAGUUGAAAUGUCAGAUAUACUAGGAACCAUCGAUUUGAGAAAGAUGCCUUAGGACAUCAGAAUGUCAUAGAAACUCGCACCUGGCUCAAAGUUAUGGAAAUCAUCUUAUUUCAUUUCCUAGUAUUUAAUAUUUUAUCUAGUUAAAUCGAUUAGCCUUGAUCCUCUUAAGUCUUUGUCUUCAGCCAUUGGUAGUCAGACUUAUUCAUGUUCAAAGUACAUUUGCCAGGCGGUAUUGCUGUUUUGGGAUGCAUAAAUCAGUGUAUUUAUAUUUCAACUCUGUCACAAAACAUGCAAAGGUCACUGUAGUAUGUAGCAAACUCCUCAACUAAUUUCCAUAUUUCCCAUUUCAGGACAACAUUAUUCUAUUACAUAAGGGUUGCCAAGUAAUUAAACAAGAGCAAUUACAGGCUUACAGCUUACAAUGCAAGGACACCUUCACAGUUUACUAGAUGCACCAAGAUACUUGGAAUAGCGGGCUUGAGCGAUGAUUUUGCCAGAUUUCUUCUUCAGUUCCACAGUGGCCACUCCUACUGCUUUUCCAGCACGCAGAACCUUGGCCUCGAUAUCAAUCUCUUCCUGCAAAUGGCAACACAUGAUUUCAUAGUUACUGUACAAUCACAAGAACUUCAGAAGUGAAACACGAUAUUCCAACAGCUCAACUUAUUCGUCAAGGUUGUCAUGGUCAUCCAUGCAAUUCGGAAUAAAGAGAACAAGUACAACUUGGUUAUGCACUAGAGCAUUCUCAACAAAAUUUAAAAAAUAAAGGAAUCUUGAUGCACCAAAACUGGUAACUGAUACGGAAUUUGCCACGUAAACAAUGAUUCAUGAUGUUCAGUGGCAUCUCUACCUGUUGCUAGAAGAGUGGAGUUUGUGAGAAUUACAGAUUAUUGGCUCUGUGAUAAUGUAAUUUUUUAGCUCAUUUCUCUGUAAUAAUAAGCUCUGCUAAAUUAUGCUUAGAGUAGUUGGGCCAUGGGGAAAUACAAGAACACAUCCCAUCCCAUGUAAAUUGAUCGAGCAAAGGGUCGAUGCUCACGCCAACAUGUACUACUCCCUCCGUUCCCACAUAUAAGACCUUUUAGAGAUUCCAUUAUGAACUACAUAUGGAUGUAUAUAGACAUAUUUUAGAGUGUAGAUUCAUCCAUUUUGCUCCGUAUGUAGUCCGUAGUGAAAUCUCUAAAAGGUCUUAUAUUUAGGAACAGAGGGAGUAGUUACUUAUUUCACACCCAAUUAAAUUCGGCGAGGAAGGCACUCACAUCCGAAAAUGCAGCAUCCAAGUAGGAGAUGUUCAUCUCUAGUGGUGAGCCCCUGGUUUGUGCCCCGGACGUGUAGAAGACAGCAGUACCCACCAAGUCAACCAGCGACGCCGUUGCGCCACCGUGCAGGAAGUUGCCUGAGUUCUGUGAUUGCUCGACAACAACACCACAAGCAUCAGUAAAUAAAACUGCAAAAGGCAGUAGUAACAAGCUGGUCCAUGCACGAUGGCACAGCUUGUGUUCCAGUGAACAAUUAGAUGAUGGAACUCUGUUGUUCCGAAAUUAAGUUCCUCAGCUACAGUGGGAAGGUAAUCUUCCGAAGAAAUGCUAAUGGUAGAUAGUAGCGCAACAGUAGAUGGGGAAGUUAAAUUACGCAUCAAGCAGGAACUGAGCAGGGAAGUGAAGGGGGUAGGUAGAUCUGGCUGCCGGAGGUGGGAUGGAUGAAGGGCUCACGAGGAGGCGGGCGGGGACGGUGAAGUGGCAGAGGAGGCGGCCGGGCUCGACGGUGUGGACGCGGAUGCCGCAGAGCACGAAGGCGUCGUAGAACCCGGAGGGCAGCGCGUCCACCUGCUCCGUCGGCAGCGACUCGGCCGCCGCCUCCUCCAGCAGCUGCCGAGCCUUCUCCAUAGCCGCCGACGCCGACGCCGACGCCAUCGGCCGGUCCGAGAAAGAGGAACGGAUCCGGAUUUGCGUUUCCUUCCCCGAUUCCGCUUACGACACUUGUUUAUGCUUAACGCUACUUUAUGUACCUGUUCUUGGCUUUUUCUUGUACAUUCUUUGUCUUACCACGUCUUUUUGUUUGCUAGGCCAGGGUGUUGUACUAUCAAUGGACAUUUUAGGGGUAGUUGUAUCCUCGAUGAACUGAACCUCGGCACUGUUGACUGUUGUCGCCGAAUUGCUUGACAAAAAACAAUUGUUCUUCUUAGAUUGCACCAUUAAAUUAGUAGUGCUAUUUCACAAUCAAUUUUCGAAAAUACUAACGUUCACACAUGUGGGCAUUUGCAUAUCAUCCACAGAUCAAUGUCUGUUUAUUUUUGCAUGAAUCUUGGCAUGUUUUGCCAGAUUUUUUAUGCCAUGUACGAUUAGGCUGGUGAGUGGGCAUUUAUCCGGUGGGCGUUUAGCAGUUCGCUCACACGCCAGUUUUUACGCAUGCAGAGAGGUUGGUGUGUGGGCGUUUAUCAGUUCGCCCACAUGCCCGUCUUCUUUCUCACGCUCAAAGCUGCCAGUUGUCAUAUGUUUUUGCAGGGUACAUGGCAACUACCCUAGCGUAGUUGUACGUAGAUGGCAACUUUCUUUUUACCGAGUUGACAUGUGUUUUGCAGGGUACAUGACAACUGUUCUAGCGUGCUUAUAAGCAGAUGAGAACUCCCUCUUUAUUCGAAGAGCAGUGCUAGACGGAUGAUAGAACUCGGACGAUUCAUGCACGACAGUGAAAUCCAGCCGCACAUGCAAGUGUACAGGGGAGCAACGGCCGCCGGAUUUUUAGUCGUCCUCACAUCGUCUACGGUUUCGUCGUCUGUAGAGCAGUUUCGUUAUUCGAAUAUGUUUCUUUGUCAUGCUUUUUUUGUAGUGUUACAUGACAACUGUCUAGUGUUAGUAGAUGACAACUCCUGUUUUCAAGUCAUGACAACUAUAGUAGACCAUACCAUACAUGGCAACAGCUGCAGUGGUUUAAAAGUGGCAUCUCGCACUUGACCUGAGAUGGCAACUGUAGUUCAGCAACAUGGCAACUGCAGUUAAACAAACAUGAAAGAAAAUCCGCAGUUAAACAAACAUGAAAGAGAAUCCGGACCAUGGCAACUGCGGGGACGCGUGAUGACUAUCACGCGGAGCGUGCGGGACCAUGAGUACGGGCGUGUGAGCGUUAUCUAUUUUGCACACACGUAGGCAUGUGGGAAGAACCGUGAGGCAAAAAAGCAGGCAUGUGGGCAUUAAUUGUUUUGCCCACACACAGACGUGUGGACCACACAAGACGUGUGGCUAGACCCCUUAACGCCCACAUGUGUGAGCGUUAUCGGUACCCUUAAUUUUUCAUCCAGUUUCUUGAUAUUUAACUUAUAGAAGAUAUGUAUUAUUCAAUUUAGGAAAAUAUAUGUAUUAUACCAUAUCAAAACAUAAUAGUAUCUACUUAGAAAAAAUAGGAUGUCACCCUACCAUGAUAAACAACAGACUCCACGGCUAGUAAGUCCUAGGUUGUCAUAGGCGAAAUGUUCCCUUCUUCAAAAUUCUCACAAGGCACCAUAAGUGAAAUCAUGCUAGAAAAACUUGGCUUGAGAGCUCAAGUAAUUGCGCCUUUGAUAUAGUGUCGGCUCAGUCUUUUGGAAGUGCUCAUAGGGAUAGGGUAUGCGUGUGUGUGUUCAUAGGGGUGAGUGUAUGCGCGUGUAUAUAAGCGCUUGCGUCUAUACUGUGUUAAAAAACAAUCUAAACAUUUUUUUAACAUUUUGUGACGAAGAUAGUAAAUCAUUUUCUAGAUAUAAAUGAAGAAUAUGCAAACAAUGUUUUAGAUCAAUGAAUCCAUAUACCCUUAGUCAUCAAAGCCAUGGGCCUACACUGGCAGUUUAUUUUAGGUGGUAAACCUUUUAAUAAUAAAAUCAUUAUGACAUUAAUUGAUCGUGUAAAUAUAUAAAAUUCUGAAUUAAAAGCAAUAUUUAUGGGUGCAGAUACGAAAUAUUACUCCUUGGUGAAGGAUGGAAUAUAACUUUAGAUAUUUGAUCUCCAUAACAGUCAAUAUGAACUUGAAAAUAAAAUUAAUGGAUGUUGCCACCAUUUACUUAUAUGGAGAGAAAAAAUCUCAUGUCACUCUUGCCUGCGCUACUCCGGGGUGUCUCCCGCGACCUAGCGUCGCCUCCCCUUUUUCCUUCUCUCCCCAUGCUGCCACCGGAUGAAGCCGGCGGGAGAAGCCCACGUGGCUGACGGCGGUGGCGGGGCUCCUUCUCACAACUCCCCCAGUGUUGUGGCGACGGCGGCUCCCAGGGGGUUUGGCGGUGCUCCACGCCAACGAAGGCUGAUGUCGUGGACUUGACACGACAGAUGUCCUAGCGGAAGGACUUAGUCGUGGAGCCAUCACAACUAAGUUAGCUUAAAGGGGUUAAUCGGGACAAAUGACAUAGAAAGUUUAUGCUGGUUCGGCCCCUCGUGGUGGAGGUAAAGGCCUACUCCACUUUGGCGUUGUAUUGCUUGGAUUUCGAUUACCAGGGAGCGAAUACGCUUGACAUAGUUCUCGAUCUCUUGUUUCUUGUCCUCAACCUGCCACCGGGUCGUCCCUUUAUAUACAUAGGUUGAUGUCCGACGGCUUACAGAGUCCCGGCUGGCUCAUACACAAUGUGUCCGGCUCGAUGACUAGCUAAGCUUGCCUUUCAAUACAAGUUAUACAUGUGGCGGUUCGUCCCCUUGGGCCUCAAGUCGCCUCUGCGUCUUGGACCGUCAAUGGGCUUGCUAUGACCCACCAUCUUCAUUGAUAAGUCACUAGUGGUAUGACCCGGCCCCUCCUAGACGGGUCAUACCCAAUAGUUAUAUCCCCAACAUUAGGCCCCAGGUUGAUUUGAACUUGUUCACAUCAAUCUUCAAUACCUGACUUGUCAGAAUUUUGCAUCGUCCAUUUGAUAAACUUUGCUGUAACCCGCCAUGACGUCAGCUCACAGAAUCUUCUUAACCCGCCAUGACGUUAUUUCACAUUAAUUUCGCACGAGGCCCAGAACAUCUUAAUUGAUCCUUAUCUUAAUGAAUAUCCCGAAAACCGAGGCGUCCAUAUAGCCAUAUGAUGAUUUCGGCCUCCUCAAUUCCCGUGCAUGCCUUGUAUCCAUCCUCUUAUAAAUAGGGAGGGGGUCCUAGUCUUCAUUUUUCCCCUCACCUCAUCGUCUUCGUCUUCCUCCUUGUGACUCCGCCGCCAACCCAAGCUCUGUCGUUGUCGUCCUCCGUCUGCUGCAUCAAUUCAGGCCGCUGCAUCAACCUGAUUAAACCAGAGAACGCCGGUGCGCCACUGCCGUUACACUAGGGUUUGAAUAGUUCAUCGGUGUUCUUGCUGUUCUUCACUGUUUCUCCGUAAUGCACUCAUUUCAAUCUGACAAUAGUAUUAGAAGCGUGCGGAAUCUGUUUGACACACCCUCUCAAGCAUAUGAAACAUUCCUUUUAUACAGAGAAUCUUCGAACAAAUGAAUUUUUCCACUGUCACAACCUUUAGGUUUAAAAUUUACUUUUCUUUUCCCAGCUGCGGUAGAUCCGAGAUUAUAAAUCCAUCUCCAGAAUCUUGUUUAUCCAGCACUUAGCCAAAUGUUUACUGGUAGAUCAGAAGUACCAUAGCCGUCAUGGCGGCUUAUAUAAUCUUGUUUAAACCGCCAUUAUAUGCUUCAUAACCUGAAUAACCCGGCAAUAUCCUCUGCUUUAACCAUGCUUAUUUAUUCAUCCUCAUAAUUCAGUUCUCCGGUUUGACAACUACAUACUAUGAACUGUAUCUCCAUAGCCAUUAGCCCUUCACAAUGGUUUAAACGAUAAUUUGUAACCCGCCAGAUAUCUGUCGGUUUAAUAACAUCUUGAAUCGUCUUGUAUAGGAUGUGCACCCAAUCAUGACUAAGACAGUCACAUCAUGCGACUCGAUCCCACCCAUCGUUACCGAAGAAAUGCUCCAGGAGUAUGUCAAAAUUGGCUUCUUACCGGCAAAAACGUCAUUCACUGGCGUGCUCUAAAACCAGAUGAAGUCAGACCUGAGUCGCAGGAUGAUGAAGUUAUUGUUUUCACUGAUCACAUGAACCGGGGCUUCUCACCGCCCGGGUCAAAAUUCUUCUGUGACGUUCUGCAUUUUUUGCAACUUCAUACUCAAGACAUCGGACCCAAUUCCGUUUCAAAUAUCUGCAAUUUCCAAGUCUUAUGUGAAGUAUACCUUCAAGAAGAACCCAAUGUUGAACUCUUUAGAGAGUAUUUUUAUUUGAACCGCCAAAAUGAAUUCACUAACGGGCCUAGCCAGGAGCUUGGAGGGAUCUCAAUUCAGCGACGAAGAGAUGCCAUUUUUCCUUAUGCCCAGCUUCCAAUUCAUCCCAAGGAUUGGAAUCAAACCUGGUUCUAUUGCAAAGAUACUUCUCCUGCUGAUGCAAACCCCUUGCCAGGCUUCCGUGACCAACGGAUCAACCCGAAGCACCCUCUCCCCGAACGGCUUACCACUGCUGAACGAGCCAAACUUAUGCCUACCUUUUCAAAGGUUAGAGCAUUAUUGGCCAAUGGAUUGACUGGGGUCAACCUGGUUCGAUGCUGGGUAGCUUGGAGGAUCAUACCCUUAAGCCGCCGGUCCAGUUUAAUAUGCACAUAUACUGGUGAUGCCAAAGAUCCACUACGUUAUAGCUCAACACGUUUGACUGAUAAAGCCAUCAAUGAUAUGACAAAAACUCUUCUCAAUGAAAGCUUCGAUAGCUGCAACAAAGUGGGGUUGAAUCCCUUCUACACACUCAACCUGGCACCGGAUGUAAGUCUGUCCGGUUUAUAUACCUCACUUCAUUGUUCAAAUAACUUGCAAAUCUCCAACCUUUAUUGUAAUUUUUGCAGGCUGGAGCCGCCUUUUGGAAAAGGAAAUAUGAUGAGUCGGAGGUAGACCUUGAUUCCCUUGGCUCUUUUUUCAACUAUCUUAUUGACAUUGAUUGCUAUCAGGAUGACGCGGAAAAAAGGCAGGCGGGAAAUGAAGAGGUAACUAUUAUUUCCUCCGACUUAGAGCCUUUGCCAAGACAGAAAAUUCGACGAGUGAUCCGAAAAGUAAGGUUUUCUCACCCUUUAGCUCACUUGGAUCCCAACUUUAUUUUGAAGCAACAACAUCAUGAGAACCGGCACAGAACUCGGACCAGUGGAGGCGGAGAGCUUUCCUCCGGUUUACCUAACACACCAGCCCCACGCAAACGCCGGAAUGAGGUGCUUCAAAAUUCCAACUCUAUUUAUCCCAAGGCCGGUCUUAUUCGUCAACCACUUAAUCCUUCCGACUCAAAUUAUCAGGGGACCUCUCACUCUUCGUCUGGCGAUUCAUCUCAGACUCAGCUUCCGACUUUCAAGACUGCCCCUAGGUACAAACUUUAUCUGUGUUUUUUCACAUCUCUAUACUCAUACUGACUUUUUGAAUCCUCUUGCAGUGGAAUAGCAAAGCUUAGCAAAAAGGCUAAAAUAAACAAGCCAACAGAAGACCCCAAGACUCAUGAACCGGAAGAGCAAGCACCAAUAUUUGAAGCCUCCGUGCAACACCCGGAGGAACAUGCUGAUGACCCGCCACCAGAAAAUCUUGGUACGUCUGUUGAACAUAUAAUUGUCGAUCAUUUGGGUGUUGAACCGCCAAGCCCACUCAAGCCUUCAGAACCAAACACUGAAGAAAUUCUGAUCACCAGCACUGGUUUUCAAGAACUGGGGAAUCCUCUUGCUCAAGCAAAACAUUCUGCCAAGGAAGAGUUGAUCGAGAAGCGCAAGGUCAAAUUUGACAUGGCCAAUUAUUCUCAUCUAAACAUUAGUGAAAUUCUCUCUGGCUAUCUCAGCCAAGUGCACAACAGCCGCGAUCUGGAGAUUGACAUGGUCAAACACAUGCACCAGAAAUAUGAGGUAUCAACUUCUUCCUUCUCUGUAAGAUACAUUCCUUCAGCCCCCAAGUCUACUGAAUAUGAUAGAACUGAAUAUACUAUAGACUUUUAGAUAGUCAUAAACAUGUGAAGAUCAAACUAGUAGCCCCCAAGGGCCGGCUUAAACUAUCAAGUUAAGUCGGGACUUCAAUUAAUAGUGAUCAACUUUGCACCUAUAGCCCCCAAGGGCCGGUUUAAUCAAUAUGAAUAAACCGAGACUUAUCAGUAUCACUGAAAAUCUCAUCUGGUCACCCUUACAAACCGGGUUAACUUGAAAAAGAUGAACCGGAGUUGUCUGCCACUGCUUCAUAAAAGAAACUUUCUGCACCCAUUAGCCCCCAAGUGCCAAGUGCUAUUGCUUGCAAAGGGAUUGAGACUUUUCUUUUGUACAAGACUAUAUCAUAACCGUGCAUACUUGUUUCGAUCUUCUACUUGCAGAAGGCGUCCAGUCAAUUUCAAUCUCAGCUGGCCGAUUUAAAAACCGGGCUUGAAACACAAGAAGUUGAGACCCGGAAGGCUGACUCCAAGUUCAAGUUUAGCUUGGAUGAAAAAGAGAAGCUUAAAAAUGAGUUUAAUACUAAGAAAACCACCUGGGCUAAAGAGAAGGCUGCCCUGUGAUAUGUCUCCAACGUAUCUACUUUUUCAAACACUUUUGCCCUUGUUUUGGACACUAACUUGCAUGGUUUGAAUGGAACUAACCCGUACUGACACUGUUUUCAGCAGAACUGCCAUGGUGUUAUUUUUGUGCACAAAUAAAAGUUCUCAAAAUGACCUAAAAAUCCACGGAGACACGUUUUGGAAUUAAUGAAAAAGAUUGGUGAAAGAAUCAACAUCAGGGGGGCCACACCCUAUCCAUGAGGGUGCAGGGUGCGCCCCCUGCCUCGUGGCCCCCCUGGGACUCCACCGACCUCAACCCCAACUCCAUAUAUUCACUUUCGGGGAGGAAAAAUUAGAGAGAAGGAUUCAUCACGAUUUACGAUAUGGAGCCCUCGCCAAGCCCUAAUCUUCCUCGGGAGGGCUGAUCUGGAGUCCGUUCGGGGCUCUGGAGAGGGGAAUCCGUCGCCAUCGUCAUCAUCAACCAUCCUCCAUCACCAAUUUCAUGAUGCUCAGCACCGUGCGUGAGUAAUCCCAUCGUAGGCUUGCUAGAUGGUGAUGGGUUGGAUGAUAUUUACCAUGUAAUCGAGUUAGUUUUGUUAGGGUUUGAUCCCUAGUAUCCAUUAUGUUCUAAGAUUGAUGUUGCUAUGACUUUGCUAUGCUUAAUGCUUGUCACUAGGGCCCGAGUGCCAUGAUUUCAGAUCUGAACCUACUAUGUUUUCAUGAAUAUAUGUGAGUUAUUGAUCCUAUCUUGCAAGUCAAUAGUCACCUACUAUGUGUUAUGAUCCGGCAACCCCAAAGUGACAAUAAUCGGGACCACUCCCAGUGAUGAUCGUAGUUUGAGGAGUUCAGGUAUUCACUAAGAGUUAAUGAUUUGGUCUGGUACUCUAUUAAAAGGAGGACUUAAUAUCCCUUAGUUUCCAAUAGGACCCCUGAAAGAACGUGGUUGUCGCCUAGAGGGGGGUGAAUAGGCGUUUUAAAAUAAUUACGGUUUAGGCUUGAACAAAUGCGGAAUAAACCUAGCGGUUAAUUUGUCAAGCACAAAACCUAAAACAACUAGGCUCACCUAUGUGCACCAACAACUUAUGCUAAGCAAGAUAAGCAACUAUGUGAUAGUAAGAUAUAUGACAAGAAACAAUAUGGCUAUCACAAAGUAAAGUGCAUAAGUAAAGGGCUCGGGUAAGAGAUAAUCGAGGCACGCGGAGACGAUGAUGUAUCCCGAAGUUCACACCCUUGCGGAUGCUAAUCUCCGUUUGGAGCGGUGUGGAGGCACAAUGCUCCCCAAGAAGCCACUAGGGCCACCGUAAUCUCCUCACACCCUCGCACAAUGCAAGAUGCCGUGAUUCCACUAAGGGACCCUUGAGGGCGGUCACCGAACCCGUACAAAUGGCAAGCCUUGGGGGUGGUCACCGAACCCGUACACUUUGGCAACCCUUGGGGGCGGUCACCGGUACCCGUCAAAAUGCUCGGGGCGAUCUCCACAACCUAAUUGGAGACCCUGACGCUUGCCCAGAGCUUUACACCACAAUGAUUGAGCUCCGAACACCACCAACCGUCUAGGGAGCCAAGGCACCCAAGAGGAACAAGCUCUAGGGUGCCCAAACACCCAAGAGUAAUAAGCUUCUCAAACUUCACUUCCACGUAUCACCGUGGAGGACUCAAACCGAUGCACCAAAUGCAAUGGCAAGGGCACACAGAGUGCCCAAGUCCUUCUCUCCCAAUCCCACCAAAGCAACUAAUGCUAGGGAAGAAAAUGAGAGGAAGAACGAAAGAAGAACACGAAGAACUCCAAGAUCUAGAUCCAAGGGGUUCCCCUCACUUAAAGGAGAAAGUGAUUGGUAGAAACGUGGAUCUAGAUCUCCUCUCUCUUUUCCCUCAAGAACUAGCAAGAAUCAUUGGAGGGAUUGAGAGUUAGCAAGCUCGAAGAAGGUCAACAAUGGGGAAAGAACACGAGCUAAAAAGAUUUUUUUUAAGUUCAUUGGGGAAGAAGACCCCCUUUUAUAGGUGGGGAAAAAUCCAACCGUUAUGCUCACAGCCCGCACAGAGCGGUACUACCGCUAGGGCGGAAGUACCCCUUUAAAAAACAACUGCGAGGAGGCAAAAGGCCAGAAGAACCACCGGAGCGGUACUACCGCUCGUCCUCACGGUACUACCGCUCGACCUCAUGGUACUACCGCAAAUGGUAGCGGUACUACUGCUUGCGAGUGGUACUAAAAAAAUACAUCCGGGCCUACCACCGCAAGACUUGGGACGAGUUUUUGGUCCGGAGCGGUACUACCGCUGUAGGAGCCACGGUAGUACUGCUCUGGAGCGGUAGUAAAAAAUUACAUCCGCUCCAAUUCGCGGUAGUACCGCUGCAGCCUUUUCAGAACACCAAAAGUGCCACAACUUUUGCAAACGGACUCCAAAUUCGAUGAAGCCAAGUUUGUUGGAAAGCUAGCGACAAGGGCUAACACAACCUUGAAAGAAAUAUCAAUAAUAAGCAAAUUAGAAAAGGCCCAUAAGAAAAUGGUGAGGACCCUUCCUCGGAUAAGACCGGUAAAACCUACAACACCGAAAACAUCAUAGAAGACGCAUGCGAAGUCCUUUUUCGAUGAAACCAAGUUUGUUGGAAAGCUAGCGACAAGGGCUAACACAAUCUUGAAAUAAAUAUCAAUAAGAAGCAAAUUAUAAAAGGCCCAUAAGAAAAUGGUGAGUACCCUUCCUCGGAUAAGACCGGUAAAACCUACAACACCGAAAGCAUCAUAGAAGACGCAUGCGAACUCCGUUUUUGAUGAACUCAAGCUUGCCAUCAAGAUGACCAUAAUCUCUAAGACUCACAAAGAGAACCAAAAAAAACCAAGAAACAUGAUGUAAGGAUGCAAUGGUUUGAGCUCUCGAUGAACGAUACAAUCAAGCUACUCACUUGAGAGCCCCCCUUGAUAGUACGGCUAUCGAUACUAUAACCCGGUCUCCCAACUACCACCAUGAGACCGGUAAAAUAGAAAACCUAUCAAGGGCAAACCUUUGCCUUGCACAUGAUCCACUUGAGUUAGAUGAUGACGAUCUUGUCCUCCUCAAGAUGGACCACCUUUCUUGAUUGCGUUGGGUCGAUGAAGACUAGAUGAUUGCUCCCCCAUACUCCACUAUGGGUGAGCCACUCUUCGGAACAUCUUCACAAGUCCAUUGACACCACAAUGGAUGGCAAGCUUCAAGCACUUGAUCUCUUCAUGAUUCUCCACUUGAAAUUGCACACGACAAUCUUGAUGACGAUCACCACUUGAUGUCAUCCUUCCCAUGGGUUGUAUGAUAUCAUCCUCUUGAUGCAAGCCCAUGGACACGUACCUAACCCCACAUAGACUCUCACAUAGACCAUGGGUUAGUACACAAAGUGCAAUGGACAAUGCUUACCAUACCAUGGGAUCACUUGAUCCCUCUCGGUACAUCUUCUACUCUUUGUGAGUUGAUCAACUUGAUUCACUCUUGACUUAGUCUUGAUCAACCUUGAAUCUUUCCAACUCUCUUCGUUUGGAUGAUGUCUUGAAGGUAAACAUGAAUGAUCACACAAUCUUCUUCUUCAAGACAUGCUUGCAAUAAUCUCAACUCUCAAAUGACCAAUCUUUGGAUAAUUCCUUGAAUAGCACCUGGUCGACACAAACUCUCCUUGAAACCAACACAUGUACUCCAAGAAAAGCCUAUGGACAAAACCUUCAAAUAUAACUCAAGGAAACCAUUAGUCCAUAGAGAUUGUCAUCAAUUACCAAAACCAAACAUGGGGGCACCGCAUGUUCUUUCAACCCCACUGCCAUGGGAGGGUAGGACAAAAGAUAUCAUGCAAGUUCUUUUCCAUAAGCACGUAUGACUAUAUUCGAAAUACAUGCCUACAUUACAUUGAUGAACUGGAGCUAGUUCUGUGUCACCUACGUUAUAAUUGUUGCAUGAGGAAUCGCAUCCGACAUAAUUAUCCAUCAUUGAUCCAUUGCCUACGAGCUUUUCACAUAUUGAUCUUUGCUUUACUUUUCCGUUGCCACUGUUACGAUUGCUACAAAAACUGCUACUGUUACUUUUUCCACCGUUACCAUUACUUCCAUACUACUUUUGCUACUAAAUACUUUGCUGCAGAUAUUAAGUCUUUCAGGUGUGGUUGAAUUGACAACUCAACUGCUAAUACUUGAGAAUAUUCUUUGGCUCCCCUUGUGUCGAAUCAAUAAAUUUGGGUUGAAUACUCUACCCUCAAAAACUGUUGCGAUCCUCUAUACUUGUGGGUUAUCGAUUCCCCUAUACCAUUAUAGCUGAUCCCAUAUACUGGUUCGGCCCCUCGCGGUGGAGGUAAAGGCCUACUCCAUUUUAUGGUUGCAUUGCUUGGGUUUCGAUUACCAGGGAGCGAAUACGCUUGACCUAGUUCUCGAUCUCUUGUUUCUUGUCCUCAACCUGCCGCCGGGUCGUCCCUUUAUAUACAUUGGUUGACGCCCAAUGGCUUACAGAGUCUCGGUCGGCUCAUACACAACGUGUCCGGCUUGGUGACUAGCUAAGCUUGCCUUUCAAUAUAAGUUAUACAUGUGGCGGUUCAUCCCCUUGGGCCUCAAGUCGCCUCUGGGUCUUGGGCCGUCAAUGGGCUUGCUAUGACCCGCCAUCUUCAUUGAUAAGUCGCUAGUGGUAUGACCCGGCCCCUCCUGGGUGGGUCAUACCCAAUAGUUAUAUCCCCAACAGCUACGGUCUCUAGGCAGCGUACGACGGCGGGGCUCGGCGAGUGGCGGCGGGGUCCCGUGGUGGGGCUCAACUAUGCGUCGGCUAGUUGUUGCAUCAGUGGUGGAUGGGGCUGCUAAGGCUCCCUUGCCUCCCGUGUGCAUGAUGUGGCCCAGAUCAGGGAUGCCAUGGUGUGGCUAGGCAGAGGGGCAGCGCGCACUACGAGGGUUGAUGGCCAGCAGCGGCCGCCGUUUGCACCGUGGUGGCUGGGGCACUACCUAAGGUGGUUGCGUGAGGGCCGGUUUUUGGCUAGGUGUUAGGCUUGUUCUAAGCUCAUAUUUAUCUUUUGAUCUGCGUUAUAAGAGGGUCUCCCCUCCAUAAUGUAUCUUCCCGAGAGGACGAAAUCAAUCUGGCUAGAGUGUUAGCCACUACUAAAAGUCACCCAAUGUGAUUCUCUCCUUUUAAAGAGUGUGUUAGCUACAAUCAUGUUGUAGGCUAGGGCAAAGCUUAAGACAUGUACUAUUUUUCUAUUAUACUGUGAAAAAAUGGUUUAACUUUCGUGGCUAGGUGAAGACAACCCAAUGCACUAGUAAACCCCGCGAGAGAAAUUUGAAGAGCACAUGCGAGUUCUCCUGUGCUUGAAUGGUCAUUUGGUGGUUAGGGGGUGUUUUAUAAAAACUGAAUUCAUGGCACCAACUUGAAUCUAGCAAGAGCACAUGUCGCUACAGGAAAAAUCACAACAAAUAUAGUGGAAGCACGACACCAAUAUAAGCAGAUGUCAGCGAGAAACAAGAUAAAUGCUGCAAAGAAGGAGCAUCACUAUCGCACGGGGUCAGGUGGCUACCUCAAAGCCCGACCAGUAUGGGCCAAGGCUGAGAAUGACCUGCUUGAUAAAGGGGUAGAACCAGAGACAUUGCACUGGCCAGACCGUUGCGGAUUUGGUUCUUCGGGGUUGGCGGAAGCUUGGACCCUGUAAUAGGAAAGUGCGUUUGGACAAAAGAGCAAAUGCGAAUACCCAUCACGAAGCUUAAGUUCUAUAUCGCCAUAGUGCAGGACGGGACGUUCGUUCCAGACAGAGAGAAUGACGAGCUCACAAUGGCCCUCAGGAAUCCUGAGCACCCUGGACGGACACGAGGCACGCCAGGCUCCGUUCCGUGGAAGGCUGGGUUUUUGGACGCAGGCAGUUACAAAUGCCAGGAGAGGAGGAAGAAAGUGGAGCAGACCCAACUGUAGGCGCUGCACGCAAGGGUAGAAGCAAUAGAGGAACGAGAAUGAGAAGCAGUUCACAGCAAGCGACCUGCGGAAGCUAUCCCGCCAUCUCAGCGGAGAAGCAGCAUGGCUUCCACCGAGCUACUUCAGCUGGAGCCUGUCUUCACGGCUCCUGCUAGCUACCCCAUGGAUGCUAUCACGGAGUCUCAACAUUGCCACCUUAUGACACAAUGGCAGAACUUCAAAGUCAAGGCGGUUGUCGGCUCUGUUCGACUUCCUGAACCCGAAGCAACUUUUCACUGCCGUCCAAUUCCAGAAGGAUAUGCUAGGGUGACGGUGGACGGAAUAACGGAGGGAUUGGAGGACCUUGAGCUUGACCACCCUACCGGCAAUGGGGAGACUCGGCUGGGUUUGGCUCUAAAGACUCCAUGCCUAUGGCGGAAGGAGCUCAUCAACCUUCCGAACCGGACGCCUCUGCAUCCUCCUCCUCCUCCGGUGAGUCAGGGCACUCCUCCUCCGCCGCCGCCUCCUCCUCCUCCGGCGAGUCAGGGCACUCCGCCUCCUCCUCCUCCUCCUCCUCCGGCGAUUUAGGGCACUCUACCUCAUCCUCCUCCUCCGGCGAGUCAGGGCACUCCGCCUCCUCCUCCGGCGAGUGAUCAGGGCACUCUGCCUCCUUCUCCGGUGUGUGGCGACACUCCGCCUCCUUCUUCGCCUCCGCCAGCGCGCCAGAGCAGCCAACCUCCUCCUUCUCCGCCUCGUCGGCAAGGGCGGAAGAGACCCGCCGCCACUCCGGCUGCUCCGGCGCAUCGUACUCGUUCUCCUCCGCCUCGUAAGCAAGCAAAGAAGACGGCCACAUGCGCUUCGUCUGCUCCGGCAUCUAGCAAUACAGCCAGAGGCGGGAGACAAUACAAAUUCGGUCCAUCUCUAAAGCCUCUAGAGAAGUUACCACAUGAGAGGUCCGUGGAGGAAAACGCGAAGAACGUGGAAGGCGAAGCGAGGGACUUCUUUAAAGCGGUGAAAGCAAAGAAACAUCCACCUCCGGAGGAGAAGGUAGAUCCGGUUAAAGCAAAGCGCACACUCGAUGCCCUGAAGAAACCACCACCGUCUCCGCCGAAAAACAACUAUGAGCGCAUUAUUGGAAAGUCAUUUAUCAAAGCGGAGCGGUCAGGAAGUACUAUCAGUGAUCGAAGGUUAGCAGAACGACGAGCUGGGAAAAAAAUUGCCCAACUCGGCGAACAAGCAAACCAAUCAUGCCCCCGCUCAAGGUGUCUAGCGAUAUCGUCGUUAAUGAUCCGAGGAUGGUGCCCAGUUAUACCAAUCUUGGAGAUUACCUGCCCGACGAUGAAAAUUUUGAUAUAAUGGAGGUGGACGAACACAAAUACCAGUACGGGAAGCCUCUCGUCAGAGAUGGAACUAUUCUGACAACGAUGAUGCAAAGAUUCCAUGAUUGGUACAUGAAAACAUGCAGCGAGUCUGGGGGGGAAGAAUACUUUGACGCUGAGAGUUAAAAAGGAGCACGACCUCGUUGGAAUUGAACUAUUGACUGUUCCAUUUGAGGAGUUCUUCUAGUUUUUCAAUCAAAAGGCCCUCGAUAAAUUAACGGUCACUUGCUACUAUCUGCAAGUACUACUUCUGUCAUUAAGUCUCUCUAUAUAUAGCUCAGCUCUUUCAUUGCAUGUAUAUAUAAUUAUUCUCACUAUAUUAUGCAGAUUGAAGAUCGUCGAAUACAGAAAAGCAGAAAUCUAUGAUAUUGGGUUCAUUAACACAAAUCUCAUAGAUGAAUUUACGGUUAAAAAGAAUGCCAAAGAAGCCGAGGCCAACUUGCUCCAAUCGUUGGUAAUAAAUCAAAACAAAGAUAAAAUACUCUUUCCUUACAACUUCAAGUGAGUGUUACUGUCUUCUGCAUAUUCAGUUUCCCUUAUUACUCGAGGUUAUAGUAAUGUAAUUGAUGAGUUUUGUCUGCGUGCGCAGGUUCCACUAUAUUCUCCUAGAGAUUAAUCUUGAGCAGGGACUAGUAACUGUCUUAGACUCGAGACGAAAAGAUCCCGAGACCUAUGCGAACAUGACUAAAAUUCUCAACAAGUAAGUUCAAUCGAUCAUUAUCGCACCAUAUUGGCAACUUUUUGUUCAUUUCCUGAUAUCUCAAGUAAUAAUUAUUUUCCUUGUCUUGCAGGGUUUGGAAAAAGUUCACCGCAGAAGCUCCGGGACUGCCGAAGGAGCUGCGAUGGACAUACCCGAAAGUAAGUAGUACUAGCCAGCUAGUUCCGCGCAUCUCCCAUUGAUUCCAACUACUUUCAUCAAUGCCAUUUAUAAUGCUUCAUUAUCAGUUUGAUUGACCUCUAUUUCUCGUAAAGUGCUUAUUGCAGGAACCCGGGAAUGAUUACUGUGGAUACUACGUUUGUGAGUUCAUCUACAACGUGACUUGCAAAAAACCCGGGGCUACUCUAAAAGAAAAUUUGAUGUGCGUAAGCAAUAAUAUUCAUAAUUUAAUUAUAUUACCAUCAUUUGUGUUAAGUUCCAUUCAUAUAUAUGUAUUGACCCCCUUCUUCAAAUUAGAUGUGGCAGAUGCGGGAUGAUCUCCUACCACAAGAUCGCAUGAAAGCAAUUCAAGAUGAAUUGGCGGGAUUCUUUCUUGACCACGUCAUCAAUAAAGCCGGAGAAUACCAUUUGGAAGCUGACUUCAUAUAUAAUUAGAGGAUUAUAUUGUAAGAGAUCUUAAUAUUGUAUAUAUGUAGCCAGUAGCGCCGAAUAGAUGUAUGAAAACUUGUUGUUCGACCAAUCUCUCGGAGAAGGAGAGGUCGAUAUCACUUCUCUCUGUAUGAAUAUGUUCAUCACGAACUUCUGUACUUAAUGGUUUCCUUCAUUUGCUUACUAGCUAGCAUGUCGAGUGUCUCUCUAUACGUAUAGCAUGUAGCGUCGACUAAGCACGGAGAUAAGAGAAGACACUUCUCUCUAUUAAUUAGCUAGCUAACACAAUAUAUGAAACACCUAAAUUAACCCCCCAAAACCCCCUUUCAAAAAGAAACCUCAGCUCCUGCCAGCUGCUGACGCGUGGAUGCCUUUUGGUCCCGGUUGGUGCUACCAACCGGGACCAAAGGCCCUCCUGCCUAGGCUCGCCGCAGCGGCCACAUGGAGGUCCAUCUGUCCCGGUUGGUGCAAGAACCGGGACUAAAGGUUUAGGGCUUUAGUAACGACCCUUUAGUCCUGGUUCCGCAACCAGGACAAAUGGGCCUUACGAACCGGGACAAAUGGCCCUUUUUUUACUAGUGAGAGAAGUUGGGUUGGUAACAAAAGAGCUGGAUGAACUACUGCUGAGAGAGGAAAUGUUGUGGCGUCAAAGAUCGAGAACCACGUAACUAUGUGAAGGGGACAAGAAUACAUAACGGUUUCACCGCCAAGCCACUUGGAGAAAGAAACCGAAUACAAUAGUGAAACUAAUGAUAGAAGAUGGCAAAUAGGUGGAACAAAGGGAGGAGCUACAUAAAAUGUCAACAGACUUUUUCAAGGAAUUGUACACACAAGACAAAAACAUCAAACCCUAGGCAUUGUUGGAGUUGAUCAAUGAAUUAGCGAGCCCUGAGAUGAACUUUGAACUAGAGAAAGAAUUCAGCGAUAAAGAAAUAAGCGAUGCGCUCUUCCAGAUUGGGCCAUUAAAAGCGCCGGGCCCGAACGGUUUUCACGCAAGGUUUUACCAAAGAAAUUGGGGCAUUUUGAAGGAAGAGGUAGUGGGGGCACUCAAGGGAUUUUUCACGGAUGGACUGAUGCCAGAGGGUUUGAAUGAAACAGUUAUCGUGUUAAUACCCAAGGGGAAUGAUCCAAAAGCUUGAGAGACUUUAGACCAAUCAGUUUGUGUAACGUGAUCUACAAGGUAAUCUCAAAAUGCCUAGUGAAUCGACUCCGCCCACUCCUAAACGACCUCAUCUCAGAGACACAGAGCGCAUUCAUCCCGGGGCGAAUGAUCACAGAUAAUGCACUGAUCGCUUUCGAAUGUUUUCAUAAAAUCCAACACAGCAAACAUUCCCAGAACACACACUGUGCGUACGAGCUCGACUUAGCCAAAGCAUAUGACCGAGUGGACUGGAACUUCCUCGAAGGAGUCUUGAACAACUAUGGAUUUAGCAAGAAAUGGAUUGCUUGGGUUAUGGUGUGUGUCCGAUCGGCGCAGUACACAGUAAAAUUCAAUGGAAAAUUGUUGGAACGGUUCAAACCAUCGAGGGGGCUGAGGCAAGGAGACCCAUUGAGCCCGUAUCUUUUUCUGUUUGUGACUGAGGGCUUAAACCGCAUUCUGCAAAAAGAGGUGGAGAGUGGGAAUAUCACGCCGAUUAAAUUGCUCGGGGAAGCCCAGGUAUUUCAAAUUUGCUUUUUGCGGAUGAUAGUUUGCUUUUUUCAAAGCGUCCGUAGACCAAGCAAAGGCGGUUAAAUAGGCACUUGAUGUUUUCCAAAAGUGCAUGGGCCAACUGUUGAGUGCUAAUAAGUGUUCACUACUUGUGAGUGAGAAAUGCCCAAGUGAUACUCAAGAAAGAAUAAGACAUGUCUUGGAGGUUGAAACGUCGACUUUCGAGGGUAAGUACCUCGGACUUCCCACCCCGGUAGGUGGAACGAAAGAUGGACAAUUCCAACCUAUCAUGGAAUGAUUCAUGAAAAGGUGUAAUAAUUGGUCGGGCAGACACAUGUCUUAUGUGGCGAAAGAGGUGCAUGUUAAAGUGGAGGUUCAGGCUCUGCCAACAUUUACCAUGGGUGUGUUCAAGUUGUCGAUAGGCUUCUGUGAAAAAUAUGAACGGCUAAUCCGAGAGUUUUGGUGGGGAAAGGAGGACGAUCAUCAUAAGGUGCAUUGGAUGGCGUGGGACAAGCUGACGAAACCAAAGAGAGGGGGAGGCAUUGGGUUUAGAGACAUGCAUCUGUUCAACCAAGCCUUACUGGCUAGGCAAGGGUGGAGGCUGAUUCAGAACCCAGAAAGUUUAUGUGCUCGAGUACUAAAAUCUAAAUACUACCCCAAUGGAGAACUGCUAGACAUGGUUUUUGCUAUCGAUGCAUCACAGACAUGGAGAGGCAUUGAGUUUGGCCUUGAGCUGCUCAAACAAGGACUAAUAUGGAGAGUUUGAAAUGGGAAGAACAUUCAGAUACAGAGGGAUCAAUGGAUACCACGGUCGGAAGGGGUACGAGCUGCAAAUUUCACCCGGAGAUCCAGGCUUAGAUGGGUGAAUCAACUCAUUAACCUCACGACAAGCAGGCGGGAUGAGGGACUCAUUCAGCAGAUCUUCAAUCCUUGUGAUGCUACUGAGAUCCUCAAGAUUAAGAUCCCAUAGAGAGAGGUGGAGGACUGUGUGGCGUGGCACUAUGAGAAGUCUGGGCUGUUCACUGUGAGUAGCGCUUAUAAACUCGCCAUGCGGUUGAAGGGGACUGGUCCACAAUCUUCUACCUCAGGGGCAAGCACGGAUGGUCGGAGCAUUUGGGACGCCAUUUGGAAGGCGGGAGUCCCUGCAAAGAUAAAGAUUUUCGCGUGGCAAGCGGCCACCAAUACUUUAGCAACCAAAAUGAACAAAUGCAAAUGCACACCAGCCACAAUGAACAUAUGUGAUGUAUGUGGCAAUGCAGAGGAAAACGAGUACCACACUGUUGUAGCCUGCACUAAGAGCAAAGCCCUUCGCCAUGCAAUGCGAGAGCACUGGAGGCUGCCGAAGGAAAAGGAUUUCUGGUACACGGGCGAGGAUUGGCUCCAAGGUAUCCUGAAUGCAAGUAGUGAUGAUGUGAGGGAUAAAAUACUUCUAUUGCUGUGGCAGGCUUGGUAUCGCUGGGAUGACAUUGUGCAUGGAAAGGGUAGGGAGUCCAUUUCGGCUUCUAUAAUGUUCUUGCUCCGGUAUGAACAGGAGGUGUACAAAGUGAAGGACAAAUCAGAAAUAGCUAUGAACACAUGUGGCCUAAACCUCUUUGGAGAGCAGCAAGGAAAACAACCAGUAACAAGUACCAACAAAUGGAAUCCACCACCAGCAGGAAUGGCAAAACUAAACACCGAUGCGGCUUUUAAGCCUAACAUGGAUUAGGUACCGGGGGCGCCGUUGAUAGAAACAACCUGGGUCAGGUCUACCUCUCGACGGGGUGCACUCUCUGAAUCAGUGUGCAUCGGUGGAGGAAGCCGAUGGACUAGCGAUGUUGCAGGGUUUGUGGGAAAUGGCCAAAUACUACAUUGGGCCAAUACAGGUGGAGGUGGACUGUUUGUUUCUGUCCAAUGCACUAAGGCCAACUUCACCGCACGGCCCUAUAUCUAUACCCAUUUUGUCCGGAUUUUGUUCGUAUGGGGUAGAAAUAGAGGGAACAAACGCCGGACAGAGGCCGCACAAACUCGCUGCGCCCAACGCUGGAGUACCCUAAAUCUAUACCCAUUUUGUCCGGAUUUUGUCCGUAUGGUGGGCCAGGUACAGAAAAGGAGAGAGUGACAGGUGGGGUCGAGGCGGACACAGACGGACGACGAGGACGCGAAGACGUCCGCUUUGGCCCCAAACCGAGAGCAACUUUGGUCUGGAAAUGGGGCAAAAGCGGACACAGACCAGACGAAACGUCCGUAUGCUCUCAUGCGUUGGGUCAUUCGGUUUGUCCGUUUUACUCCAAACGGACACAAACGAACGAUUUGGGGUAGAAAUGGGUCACGCGUUGGAGUUGGACUAAGGACGGGUGCUACGAACAAAUCAAGCAUGUUUCCCAUUGUCGCAGAUAUUAAAACAGUGUUGGUUGGCUUCAGUGAGCACAAGAUAGAUUGGGUUAGGAGGGACCAAAACAAAGUAGCACACAACAUAGCAAGCCGAACAAAGAGCUCUGGGGACUUCGUACAAUUGGGCUCAGUUCCAGAUGAUUUGUUAGAUAUCCUGGCUGAUGAUUGUAAUGUGUUGGUUUAACCCUUCUGGGUGGGGGAGUGCUACGCGUCCGUCGGCGGAUCUUUUUAAAAGAUCCGCCGCCUGGCGUGCCGUGCGAUCUAGAUGGCUCAGGACACAAUUCCUCUUUGCAACAAGAGUAUUGUUUCAGAAACAAGGGUGCUUUGUUCGGAAACAUAUCGAUAACUAUUGCAACAUGAGCUUUGUUUCAGAAAUAUUGGUGCAGUUGCAAAAACAUCUCUGCGUAUGAUUCCACUUUGCAACAAGAGCUUUGUUUUAGAAACAACUAUUGCAACAAGGGCUUUGUUUCAGAAAAAAUAUCGCUCAGUGCUGGGAUGGAUCAACAGGGAGGGCUCCCCGACACUGACAUCAUUGAUGGCGAGGCCAUGCGCUGCGCUGCGCGCUGCAGGAACGAUGACCGGGGCGCGCGGAUCUGAAGCGCUGUCACCGACGUCGGGUGGUGUCUUGGCGAGAUGUAGGGCAGGAGAGAUGUGAGUGGCAAGGCGGCCGUCUGCCUAGCCGGCGACAAGUGAGGUGGUGAAAGAAAAGCGGAGGCAUGGAAGUGGAGCAACGAAGGCCUGCCUCGCCGCUGAAUGACGGCUGUUGGAGCAGACCGGUGGCGAGCAAGUGCGUACCUAGCCAUGUAAUCUGUUUGCAGCAAGUGCCGAGUUGCAGAGAUAGUUCUGAAACAAGGAUGGAGUUGCAAGAACGUGAAGUAGGUGAAGGUGACGCCUGACCGUCCGAUCAACAACAGAUCGAACACUCACGGAGACGGACGACACGCGCGGAAAGAUCCACCGGGUGACCACAAGCUUUUCCCUUUUGGGUGGGGCGCCGCUACGCGUUCGCCGACGGAUGUGUUAGAAACAUCCGUCACUCGGAGAGCCGUUUGAUUAGACACUUGACAGCCGCCGGAUGCAACCAUCACCCGCAAUUGACCAGGUUGUUACUUCCUGCAACAGACGUUCUGUUUCAGAAACAUAAUCCCCUGUACGCCGCCAUCCAGACACAACCCCGCCCAUUACUUCCUGCAACAAGACUCGUGUUGCGAACCUAAUUCCUGCAACACAACCCAGUUGCAAAAUUUAUUCUCCUUUUUUCUGCAACAAGACUCUUGUUGUGAACCUAAUUCCUGCAACAAGUGCAACAAGACCCCAGAUGCAAAAUUUAUUCUCCUUUUUCCUGCAACAAGACUCUUGUUGCGAACCUAAUUCCUGCAACAAGAUGUCAGUUGCAAAAUUUGCAAUAUCUACAACCUCUUCUUUGUAUUCUUCCAAAAGACCAUUGUUGCAAAAUUUGCAGCAGCAUCUCUUACCUCUUCUCUGUAUUCCUGCAACAAACCCCUUGUUGCAAUUUUACCCAACAAAGAACAUGAUGCAGAAAACUUCACCUCGUCCCAGCCGCCAUUACAAUAACACCAUUGUUACAGGAACUGAUGCUGCAUGCGAUACUGACGUUUGCAGCUGACCUUGAGGAAGCGGCAGUCAUGCCUAUCCACACCAGUGCUCCUCCAGGACGGUGACACAGUGCUCCGGCAGUGGCGUGCCUCAUAGAGGAAAGAGGGAAAGGAGGAGGGAGGAGAAGAGGACGGGCGCGGGUGGCGGAGCAACAACAUUUGGUUUGAUGCAGUGGAGGUGGAAGAAGAGGUUGGGAAAGAAAGAUGUGGAUGGGAUCUGUUUGUUGGAGAUAAAAAAUAAAAAUUAGAGCGGUGGUGCAGGCUCACGUGGGCACGUGGCGCACAGAAAAGACGCGGCGUUUAGCAUUGGAUCCGUAGGAUGAUUAGAAUCUUUCCCCUUUUGGGUGAUGCUCAAAAAAAAAAAUUGCCGGGCCGACAGGUCCGAGCCCGAGGCACGACGGGACCGUGCGACGCUGGUCCCACCCGGCGUGAUAAGUCUCAUCAUUGGCCGCGAAUCAGAUACGGAGGCAAGUAGUAAAAGUCAACGCCAUUUCCGAAUACGGAGGCAGGAUACGGGGCUGGCUGCACAGAUAAAAGGACGCCCGCUGGGAGGGAGGGCUCUGUUUCUUGUCUGUCCCUGCGUUUCGACCUCGCUGCCCGUCCACUUUCGACCUUCGCAACCGCGCCUUCGCCGCUCGGCGCCUCUCCGGCCUACCCACCUCCCGUCAGAGUUUUGGUCCUAAUCCUCAAAGGAAACCAAUAUCGUGGGUUGCUCCCCCCAGAUCUCUGCCUCCGCGGCGAGUGGGGAAUAAGAGGAGCCGCCGCCGCCGGCCGGCACCUCCGCUCCGCAGGUUGCCUCUGCUCUCUAAUCCUAUUAUUACUUUCCUCUUUGCCCCCACUUCUUUUUUAGUUACGGGCGGCGGAGAAAGAUGCGAUUUUUCUGAUGCACGCGACACUACUUACUGAUUCUUAGUUUCAGACAAAAUUCAGUUUACGCAUACUUACAUUAUUAUCUCAAGUCCCUAUUAACCCUCUUGACUCUUGUUCCCCAACGUUCCUCAAUGUUCUUUUCAGCACUGGAAUGGGGAACUAUCUGACGAGUAGAAUAACGGCAGAGAAGCAUGCCCAUGUCAAGCAGACAUCCAAGAAUCGCAAUGGGAGGCCUGGCCUUAAAUUUCAUGACCUUCCAGAGGUAUGUUGAUUUUGCCUUUCAACUUGUCCGUCAGGGUAAAUAGAUUUCUCUACUUAAACUUGUCUUCUCCUUUUGCUCAAGGAUGUACUGUGCACAAUUUUAUCGAACAGUUUUGCUAGAACUCAUCUAGAUGAGAUUUAAUUUGGUCUCAUUCACCUUUUAUAGCCAUUGGAUGUGGUGCUAUAAGAUGCGUGUGUGCUGACGUGGGUUGUAUCUGUUCUUGUUUUCCAGGUGAAUGAGACCAAAUUACGUCUCAUCUAGAUGAGUUCUAGGUACUCCCUUAUCGAAAUUACCUGCAAAAGAGGCUGUUCGGACCAGUGUUUUGUCGACUGACUGGAGAUGUACAUGGACAGCUUGCCCCAGACUAAGCUUUGGUGUCGAUGAUGUAAGUAAGAAUGCGAAAAGGAAACACCAGCACACCCAGAUGUUUAUCGACCGUGUUAAUGCGGUUUUGACCAAGCACAGCGGCAGGGCUCUUGACCAACUUGAGAUUAAAUUUAUAUUCGAGGCCAAGCUUGUUGAUCACCUCAAUAAUUGGAUUAGAUUUGCUAUGUCAGCCCACACAAAGAGUCUAGCUUUUGAUUUGGCGCCACCGGACAAUUUUCCCAAAUAUGGGGAUCAUUACAGAUUCCCAUUUGAACAAUUUACAGACAAGAAAAGUGUAUCCUGUCUAGCGUGUCUUCAACUCAGCUUUGUAUGUUUCGAACCACCUCCUGCCAAUUUCAUAGGUUUCCCAAACCUAAGAAAGCUUCAUCUCCAUGUACUCAAGACCACUAGGCAGGAUCUUGAGAGUAUCUUGUGCAGUUGUGUUAAUCUUGAAUGGCUGAGCUUACUCAGAUGCCAUCUCAAGGAUCAAAUGAAGGUGGUUCGGCGGCCAUUGUCCCACCUGCACUACUUGAAAGUCGUGCACUGUGAUAUAACCAAGAUAGAGUUCAAUGCUCCAAUGCUCUCCACCUUUGUUUAUGAUGGACCAUACAUACCUAUUACCCUCCAUCAUGCUGCGAAGCUGGAAAAUGCAACAAUUAGGUUCCUCGGCGCAGUUUUUCAGCAUUGUAUCGCGUCACUCCUCAAUGGGCUACCAGAUGUACACAACCUGACACUGCAUCUUGGAAUGCAAGAGCUUGAGGUAUUUUAUUACCGGGACAAUUUUAUAGUUAUGGCAGUCACGUAAUCUUGCAAUAACCUUUGUUGUUUUAUCUUUCAGGCCCGGUGGAUGUUAAAUAGCCCUCGUGUGUUUUCUCACCUUAGGCAUGUGCAAAUACUGUUGAUUAUACAUUAUGAAGAAUAUGACAAAAUCCUCUACUUAGUUUCUUUUUGAAGGGUUGCUCCGUUCAUUGAAAAGUUGGAAGUACAUGUGAGUAAUGCUCUCAAUAGUUUUCCCCCCUUUGUCAGCCAUUAUUUUCAGUUUGCAUGUAGGUGGUAGCAAGAAAUCCUACUAAUCUUGAUGACUUUUGCAGUUUCAUGAUAUUGGCACUUUGCGGUUUGCAUCCGAUGGACCUUUGAGACAAGAAAUGCCACCGUGUGAAGAUAAAUUUGUUAAUCUGAAGGACGUUCGAGCUACAGGAUUCAGAGGGGCACGCGGCCAAGCUGAAUUCCUUAUGCACGUGGUUGAAAAUGCUCCUGCAAUAGAGGUCGUGACUGUAGAUACAGCUCAAAGGCUAACUGAUGCUUGGGAUCCAGAUGAACCAAUUCCUAGACUAGAUAGUGCUGCUCUUGAUAUGGUUAGAGCUCCCCUCCUUAAGACACUCCCACCGAAUGCAAAACUUUCACUUAUUUAAGGCAGACUUGCAUCUGUUGCAUAUAUGUAGCUUCCGAAAGUAGAGUAAAUCUGGCAUGUAAUUUCUCUUUAAUUGUUAAAUUAGUUAUCAUCAACUGUGUCUACUGUGUCUGCAUCUUACUCCGUUG
rnacentral:lncRNA from 1 species